rnacentral:lncRNA from 1 species
GAGCUUCGAUGGUUAAAGUACAACAUAAGCAUCAGUAAUCAGUUGAUGGUGUAAAAUAGAUAAAUAAGCUAUUUAUAGUAUUCAGGCCACAGAAAGUUUACCGCAAAUUUGAAAAAGUAGAAAUCGGGAAAAUAUUGUUUGGCUUUGAAGCUUAGUUCCAUUUUCAAGUCAUGUAAAUUUAAGGUUAAAUUGUAGCAGUAGUCUAUACAUCAAUUUUAUUUAUUUAUUUAUAUACAUAGAGGAAAAUGAUGAUUGUAUUUAUAAAUUAGGCACAAAUAUUAUAAGCCACAAGGGCUGAUAAAAAUAUGCACAAAUGGUUAAUACAAAGAUAGAAGCAUAGUAACCACGCAUGGUUAAUCCAUAUACAUAGAAACACAUAGGCAACAUCAAGUGCACAAGAUGUAUCCAGUACUGGCCUCACAAGGCCAAAGAAAUUUCAACAUAAAGGCUGCAAGCUUGAACAAGCCAGACAUGAACCGCAAUGCAUAAAACUACCAAUACAACUACAACUGUAUAGGGAUCCAUCCUAAUAACAAUAAGGCAAACAUGGGAAAAACUUUCCUAGUGACUUGAGCCAGCUAAAAAGCUGAUGAUCUGGAGAGCAUCACUCUUGAAAAUAACUUUUCUAUAACUUCUCUCAACCACCAUAAUUUCUCCGAAUCUAGUCCAAUGACGUUAAGGACAAAAACUAGCCGCUAACUGGCAUGACUCUCCUAGAGAGACUAAGAACACCCAAAAAACUCAACUAAGUUUAUGGAAUCAUAAGAUAAAAAACACAGAAAACUCAUAGAGUUUUUGGACUUGAUUGAAUAAACUAACUCAAAAUAAAAAAUUUAAAGUAACGUCAUCAAAAAGAAAACCAACCGCCCCUAAUCUUCCUAGGGACAUGACAUAGAGAGCACCACUUAGGGCCAGUUUGGCAUUGCUGUGCUGUGAAAAUAAUCACUGUCAAAUUUGCUGUGAGAGAAAUCAGCUGUGAGAUAAAGUAAUUUGGCGUUUGGUAAAAUUUUUGUUAAAAGUGUUGUUGGUAUUGAUUUUACUCAUAAUCAGAAAAUGAUUGCCAAUUAAUCAUUAAACUCAGCUCCUCUUCGAAACUGAUUCCUGCAUAAUCAGAAAAUGAAAGCACCUCAUUAGCUGCUUUCCUUUAUAGCUUUCUCUCACAGCAAUUUUUAACAAUAAAUGAUUUUCUCACAGUUUACCAAACGGGUUGGGCUUCCCAAAUUUUUUAAAAAAUCACUUAUCACCUCAAAUAAGCAAUGUCAAACGGGCACUUAGUCACUCUAGGGCCUUAACGCACCAAUGAGCAGUAAAUCUACCAUGACCAUGCCGCACCUCAAAGAGCAGCCUCAUAAGAUGAGGCAAAACCAGAGCGAGCCCAAAUCUAAGACAAUAGAUCUGUCAAAAAGAUGAGUAAAUCGACAUAAGUCCACAAAAGUUGAAGAACACUGAAAAUUCAAAGGGAUCCGAGGGGAAAUUACCCUAGAGUAAAAUUAAUGUUUUAUAAGCAUUUUAUUGAAGUAGGGUGUAGUGAUGGGAAGAGAGGGAGAGGGACCCUAGAGUAAAAUUAAUGUUUUAUAAGCAUUUUAUUGAAGUAGGGUGUAAUGGGAAGAGAGGGAGAGGGAAAUUACCCUAGAGUAAAAUUAAUGAUGUGAUUUGUGAGUUGACAAAAUAGACAAAAGACAAACACAUUGAAUUAUACUAGUAUUGUUUAUGACAUCCCAUAUUGCAUCAUUCUUGGGACUGUAAAAGGGUACAAAUCUCUCCGUCAGUCUCUCUCUCUCUCUCUCUCUCUCUCUCUGAGACGCACAAAGAAAAAAAGAAACUUAAGAAGAAAAAAAAAACAGAGGCCAAUUAAUCAAGUUUAUCGAUCCCAAAGCCGUGUCAAUCACUCAACUCAAACGUGCAAAAUGUCAAACGUCGGGUAGAUCAACCAACUUCUUAACCAACAAACAACCAUUUAAUUACGCAACAAAUAAACCCAUCAAAAGCUGCCUUAAUUAUAUGAUUAAUCUAAGUCAUCUUCCUUCCUUCAACCCAACUCAAACAAGCAAUCAUCACACCGACCCCGCAUCUACCAUCUUCCCCCACACGCAGAUCAUGCUUUUGAAUAUAAAAAAAAAUUACCAAGAAGAAACAGCAGGAAGAUGAAGAACAUGAACCCGAAAUGAUCAAAAUUAAAUUAAUGAAAAACACUUGAUUGAAGAAAGAACAUGUACAAACAAAACAAACCAAUUGGUUGUGGAGGAAUGUAAUUCACUCUCAUGAACAUUGAUGAAGGGCAUACAAAUAUAUAUAAUUCAGAUCCAAUUCUCUGAAUAUAUAACCUGGAAAUUCUCUCUUCUUUCCCAACCGACCGGCAUGAAUUUAUCCGCCACCGUGUAAUACAAAUUAUAUCAACGUAAUUUUCACGUUUUGGACCAUACAAAUCCCAUAUAUAUAAAACCCAGAAACCAAAAACUAUGAAAAAAUAAGAAGAAGAAAAACGGUGUAAUAAUUAAUACUCCGUUCCGUUCCCGUUCAAUUGAAUUGGCACCGGUGGAAGCUUUGUUUAUGUACAGGGGCAACUCCUCUUGGCACGAGAAUUAAUCAAAAAGCUCGAUCUGAAAAAGUCCUCGACCUCAUCCUGGUUCGCCGUCUCGAAGAAUUGCAGCUUUCUCUUGCAUGAGGAAGCCGCCCGUCUGGCCGGCUUUCGCGGUGCAGGCGGGCAUGUAACAACCGUGGGAAUUUUGUGCUCUUUGGAUGUUGGCGUGCGGCAGCCGUGAACGACCUCAUCGAGAGCAUCAUGGUCGUGGAGAGAUAAUGGUUGUUGGGCUUUUGGGGUUGAGAUUUUGAUGGUGAGGAAUCUCGGAUUUGGGAGGUCUUGGCAGAAGUCUAGACCAGUGGCCAUGGUUGAAGAUGAAGAUGGAGAUGGUGAGGAAGAAAAAUGGAUAUAUAUUUUAGAGAGGUGUUUUGGUGUGAUGUGGGUUUUUUUUGUGGGGCUAUUAUAUAUUUAUGGUUUUGGGAUGGGGAGGGUAAAUGGGGCUCAUCACAACGUGUUAAAGAGUGGGAAGGCGUGCGUUUGAAGGUAAUACAGCAGAGAGACAAACAAAGAAAGCUCAUUGCUGCUUCUUUUAUUCUAUCUUCUCAGCUACUAGCGCUACAGUUCCCUUUAGGAAAAUGACCCCUACCCCCUCCCCUCUCUUCGUGACACGUAUAGUCCAGUUGAAAGAUUACAUGCGUUUCAGAGAUAAUUACAGGCGGACAAAUUUGGACCCGUAUAAUAUCCUUUUGUUUCUAUUUUUGAGUGGCUGAGCUGGGAGGAGUGAUUAUGGGAUGUCCUUUUGGGUAUUAAAAUUCGAAUUAAUAACCAACAAGUAUAUGCAGGCAGCUUAGAGAUGCAGGUGAUGAGCUUAGGGUUACCACCAUUUCUGUGAUGUCAAUGUCGAUCUUUAAUUUCCUUUUUGGGUAGAUAUUUGGGAUUGAAGUUAACAUUAUUGUAGUUUCCUAUCUAUAAUUAUGAAAGUUUUGGUAAUGUGUUAAUAUCGUAAUGAAUACUAUGAGUUACAUACUUGGACCAUACAUGUUACUAAUUUGUGCAUUAAUGUCACAUUUACUUAUCGGAAAGGGAUAAGAGAAGAAAUAAAGAUAUUCUAAUUCAUAUUUACUACAAAUAUAUGAGUCCAAUUACUUAUUACUUACUUUCUCUGCUCCUAAAUUUUCCGAUUUCUUACUUUUUCAUUCCAAAUAAGUAAAUGUACCAAAUAACCGAGGUAAAAGAUAUGAAGACUGCUAGCAACCUUCUCUCUAACCUUCUCCCUUUUCCUUAUGACAUGUGUCACUCUCUUUACACUUAAAACAAUGUCAUUAAUGUAUCUUACAAACUAUCUUUUGUUUUUCAAAUUUACCCUUAUUAAAUGUAUUAAAUUUUAUGUUUCCUUUAAUUUAUACAAAAAAAAAAAUUAAUAACUUUCUUAUCACCUUAUUUAAUAAAAAGAAAACAUGAAAGAAAAUAUCUGUUUUUAAAAAAAUAUAUAUAUAUAUAUAUGAGUAAUAAAGCCCAUAAUUUUGUUGCACAUAACAAUUUUGAAAGAAAAACGUCACUUCAAGACCACAACCAAGUAAACAGCAAAAAAUUGAUAUUUUUUCUUAUUUAAUUUUUUAAUAAGGUGGUAAGGAAGUUAUGAAGAAAAAAAAAAUUAAGUUGAAAGAAACAUGAAAGUCAAUACAUAUAAUAAGGGUAAAUUUGGAAAACAAAAGAUAGUUUGUAUGAUGCAUUAAUGACAUAGUUUUAAAUGUAAGGAGAAUGACACAGCAAAGGACCCACUAAUGUAGUGAUUUGGAGUAUUUACUCCCCCAGGCAAGGUCCAGGGUUCGAUUCCUAGCAUCCGUGUUGUGUGUGUGAGUUUAAUAUGCUAUCGCCCUUUUCAAUAGGAAAGGUCCUCAUAAAAAAAAAAAAAAAAAAGGAGAAUGACACAAGUCAUGUAAAAAAAAGAGAAGAUCCAAAGAGAAAAUUAGAGAAAAAAUUGCUAACAUCCCCCAAAAAAUACAUCGACCGAAGAAAAACAAAGGGUACGUAUUACGUAAUAAUUAGAAAUUUAAUUUAGUUGUACGACAAGCUGGUGAGGUUUUAUGGCCAAGGCCUUGCAUGAAUCAGAUGUCAUUCUCCUUGCUUUUUUGUGUCUUUUUUAUUUUUAUUUUUCGCUUUUGUUUUGGAUCGACAUAUUUAACGUAAAUCUUACGUUAAUGGCAAAAGGUCGUAAUUCUAAAGCUUAAAUUAUAAUCAACUCGCUCUGGAGGAGAGUGCAUCCCACACUCAGCCAAAAGUGGGUUUGGCACGAUAUUCAUGUUCAUUUUUUGCUUUUUGGCUAACCGCACGAUGUUCAUGUUCCAUGGUGAGCUUUUUAAUAAUCCGCAAUUAAUUUUUUUUUUCUUUUUAACUAAAUAGUACCUUUUUUUUUUCUUGCAGUUUUUCUAUUUCAUUUUUUAGAAGAAAUAAUAUUUUAUUAAAGAUAAUUAAGUUGAUUCUAAAAUAUAACAUUCGGCAGUUUCCUGUAUAAAGCGAAAUGUACUAACCAAAGUGUAACUGCAUUUGCAGUGUGAAAAAUAUGGCUGAAACCAUCCCUGAAGACCUUGCAACCGAUGUAUGACUAACAUACUAUAUUAUCUUUUUAUUCCAAAAAGAACUUAGAUAUGAAAAAUAUAUAUAUAUAAAAAAAAAAGAAUGAUAUUAAAUUAAGUGGUUUACCAAUAUAAUUUAGGAGUUAAAAAAAAUUCAUAAUUAACUAAGGUGAAUUUGUAAAAUUGAUGAGUAUGGGUUUUUAUCAAAGAUGGACCUACACACUGUCUAGCCCAAGUGAGUUUGUUUUUAAAAUUUUUAAAAUUUAAUUUAUUUAAUUUUUUUUAUAGUUAGUAUAUAGGUGUGAAAAUUUAGCCCAAUUCAUUUUGAAAUCCUAAGUAUAUAUGUUUAUACUUAAGAUAAAUUUUUAAGAGAUAUUUAGUGAUAUACCCAUUUCUAGCACUAAUAUUAUAAAUAAACCCUACACAAUUGAAUUCCUAUAAACAAACCCAAAAAAAACCCAAAAAAUGAUAGCUGGCCUUAUUGAAUUUAAUAUUGAUUAUUAAAUUACUUUGAUGCCCUAUUGAGUGUUUUGGGUAUUUUUAUGAGAUUUUGGGGUUGGGCUUGUUUUAAGAAAUUGAUGGCAGUUUUGUAAUUUAUAAGAAGUUAAAAGCUUUUUUGUUAUGUUGUAAAUGGGCUUUGGGUGUGUUUCUAAAGUCCAUUUUAUAUAGGAUAUUUUUAUAAUUUAGGCCCCCAUAUUGGGUAUAAUAGUGAAUCUCCCAAUUUUUAAAUGUAACGAGUAUUUAUAAAAUUUGAAAUACAACUUGAAAUACAUCAAACACGUACAAAUAAAUAUAUCUCAUUUCACUAAGUUUUUAUUAUAUAUAUAUAUAUAUAUAUAUCAGAGAACUUCCAUUGAGGGAUCCCUCAAAUAAGUUUAUUUGAGGGACACCUCUUGUAGGCCCCACUACGGAUUGUAUUUCACUAAUCCAAACCGUCUAUUUUGUAGAUACUCAUUCAAAGAUCAUCUCUACAAAAAAUCACUUGAAUCCGAUAUCAUGUGACCACUCAAUUGAGUUAUUGAAAUUUUAGUACUUUUCUUAAAGCACCGUGUUCAUUGAUUUUGUAAGACACAAUUGGAUGUCGAAACGGUUUCCGAUCUGUCUAAUUUUUUGUAAGGAUGAUCUAUGAAUGAAUACCUAAAAAAUAGAUGGUUUGGAUUAUUGAGAAAAGAAUUGUAGGGUACUCUAAAGGGCGUCCCUCAAAUAAAAUUAUUUGAGGGAUCCCUCAAUAGAAGGGAACUGUAUAUAUAUAUAUAAAAUUUCUUGACCAUAUAAAUCAAAGUGAAAGUACUAUGAAAUACCUAUCUAAAUUUGGGGGUGCAUUUAUUCCAAUUUACAGACAACAUCUUUAUUAGAUAUCAUACAAUGCCUACGUAUAAAAACUAGAAAUAAAAAUAAAAAAACCAUGGCGCUUUUGGCCACCAAAUUGUCAACUCUUUCAAAUAUUUUAUUUUUGAUGGUGGAUGGAACCUACCAAUAUAAGUAGCUUUUAAUGAUAAUAAAAUAAAUUUUUUGUUGCAAAGGAUCCACUAAUGUAGUGGUUUGAAGUAUUUACUCCCUCAGGUAAGGUCUUAGGUUCGAGUCCUAACAUCUGUGUUGUGUGUAUGAGUUUAAUAUGCUAUCGCCCAUUUCAAUAGAAAAGAUCCUAAAAAAAAUAAAAUAAUAAUAAUAAUAAUAAUUUUGUUUCGGGUUUUUCGGCACCAUGCAAUGGACUUAAAAUUUUGGCCUCAUCUUUGUAGAGUGCCUUGUUGGCAUGUUGUUCUUUUGUUUUGGCAGACAUGUUGGCAUGUUGCUCACGCACUUCCACCAUGUGCGCGUAGACAUGAAGAUAUAUAUACACCUAAUAAAAACACAGCAAAUCUUCUCUCUUUCUCUCUCUCUCUCUCAAACGCUCAAAACGGUGCAUUUUAUAUAGAUAUAAAUAAUAUAGCAGCAUAGGAUACCAUGUAAGAGCCUUCAAUACGCUUAUCUACCAAUACCAAAAGAUCUUUCGUACAAUAAAAAAUCCAUCUACCAAAGAUCUCUCUCUCUCUCUCUCUCUCUCUCUCUCUCUCUCUCUCUCUCUCUCUCUCUCUCUCUCUCUCUCUCUCUCUCAUACCAUAAAAAUAAAAAAUAGAAAAUAGAAAAUAGAAAAAUAUCGAAAUGUUAAAUAAUAAAAUGAAAUAAAAGUAUGGAUUAGUUUACCAAAUACCAACCUUUUAUGAAAUUGCAUCUUUCCACGUGAACUGUCCCCUCCCUCUUGAUUGGUUUUCACCGUCAAUCAUUAGCCUAUAAACCAAAUUUAUUUUUUUAAUCACAUAUUUUAACAUGCAAAAUAAUAUUCCUUUUCACCACGCACCAGAUAUUUCCAAAAUUUUAAUUCAAUAAAAUAAUUUGGUUCAUGUAUCUUAACAAUUAAAAUUUGGAUGAGUUUAGAUCCAAAAUUUUGUGUUUUUAUUGUUGGUUGUGGUAGGGAUUGUAUAAGUUUUUAUGUAAACUUUGAUUGGUUAUAAAAUAUAACUUUGAUUGGUCGAGCGGUUGAGUUUUGAUUCUACUUCACCGAAUAUUGCUUGUAUAAAGAGAAAGUUGAUGCUCUUAAUAAUCACCUCUCGUAUAUAUAUAAUUAUAAAUACAUUUAAUCAUUUACAAUAUACAUCUAGGUAAGAUAGAGUUAAAUCAAGAUCAAAUCUAUGGAAGCUUUAUCGUGAGGUAAACCAGACAACAACAUUCCAAAUCUGACCUCGUUAAUCACCACUUUAUUCUUCAUGUCAAGGUAAAGAUAUAUGCUUAAGAAUUAGAGUCUUUAUCUCCCCUUUUAAUAUAGUAUUAUACCUUUUUAUAUGUACACAUAUGUAUAUAUAUAUAUAUAUAGUAAUACACCUUUCUACAUAUAUAUAUACACUUUUUUUUAUAUAUGAAAUCAGGGUUCUUUCUUCUAUCUAAUUAUUUUUCGUUUAUUUAAUUAAAGUUAAUUUAUUGAGUGCUUUUGACUGGAUUAGAAUUUAAAACUCAGGUGGUGAUUUGUAUUUUUCACAUUAAUGGAGUAGUUAUUAUUUAUAAAUUAAUAAUAUAUCUAUUACUGUCUGCAUGCAUGAAUGAUGUAUCGAUAUCUGCUCUCUUGCUUUGCUCAAAACGGGGAUAUGCGAUUUUUUAUAAAAUGAUUUUAUCCAUGAUUGUCAUGUAAAGAAGGGGGAAAAAAAAACAUAGAGAAGAGAUAAGUCAACUACUGUCCAAAUGAUUUUGGAGAUCGCUACACCGUGGUUUAUGUAUUAUAUUUUCUUUUUUGAAAUUGUCUUACUCUGAGUCUAUGACGUAGCAAGCUAGUAUUUUUCUUUUUGGGAGCGUUUGGUAUUCUAUUUGAGUAAGAAAUUCAAAAAUUUUGAUUUUUCUUGAAAACAAGGAGUUCUAAAAUCUAUUUUGUAUGAUUCAAAAACUUGUUUGGUAGACAACUUGAAAACUGUUUCUAGAAAAUGCUUCUAAAGAAAAACAUAUAUUUUUUUUGUCUUGAAGUGUUUAUAUAUUUUUUAGUUUGGGUUUUCAAAACUGAGCAUAACAAAUAGAUUUUUUUGGGUCUUGGACUCAAAUACUGUUUUUAAAUUUUAAAUUUUGGAUUAUAGUAGAAUACCAAAAUGCCCUUAGCUUGCCACACUUUUUUACUCGUUGUGUUCAUUUAGUGUAUUGUGCAUAUGUCAGGUUUUUCUUUCACCUUUUAGAGCAACUCCACCCAUAAGGGCAAAGUCUAAGGCAAGGGCAAGCAAGGGCUGUCACUAUUCAUAUGAAUAGUGGCAGCCUUGCCAUUUGUGGUUCCACCCAUGAGGGCUAAGUCUAGGGUAAAUACUAUUCAUUGUACUUUAUUUCCUAUUUUUUUAAUACUUUAAACCAUUAAUUUUGAUAAUCUUUUGUAAUUAAAUUUUCGGAUAAUAUUUUUGGUUGUCACGUGUCCAUUGUUUUCAGAAAAGAUUUUCGGAUGAGAAUUCCGAUUGCCACGUGUCUUAUUCCAAAUAAAAUUUUCGGAUAUUCAUUAAAAAAAAUUAUAAUCUCAGAUUUCAUAUAACAUUUUCACCCUCUAAAAUUGUACCACGUGUCCUAUGUCAGAUAAGAUUUUCAGAUAUUUAAAAAAAAUUAUAAUCUCAUAUUUCAGAUAAGAUUUUCACCCUCUAAAAUUGUGCCACGUGUCAUCUCUGUCAGAUAAGAUUUUCAGAUAUUUUUUUUUAAAUGAUAAUCUCAGAUUUCAGAUAAGAUUUUCAUCCUCUAAAAUUGUGCCACGUGUCAUCUUUAUCUUCUGAAUCUCUCUAUAAAACUACACCAGAGGCCUCAUACCUCUCACACCUUCUCUUAUCUAUUCCUUCAUUUCUCAGAUUUUACAAAACACAUUCUACUCUCAAUGUCAAACUUGAGGAGGGUGUUAGAGAGGCAACAGAAAGAAAGGGAAGAAAUCCGGCGUAGACGUACUGAAGAAGAUCGGGGCGCCGAUGAAGAAGAGGAACAAAUGCUUGCAGUAGCGGUGUGUAUGCUUAAUCAAUCAAGACAACACCGUCGUCCUCGUGCCCCAAAUGAGGACAGACGUAGAGAGUCUGGAGGUAAGAAUCUCUUGGAGGAUUACUUUAUCCCAAAUUCGUUAUAUCCUGCUCAUAAGUUUCAAGAGAGAUAUAGAAUGCAGCCACAUUUGUUUCAAAAAAUCAUGCAUGAUAUUUGUAAUUACGACACAUACUUCAUUCGAAAGCAUGAUGCUGUUGGAGUUGUGGGUCUUAUCCCGGAGCAAAAACUUACAGCUGCUUUGCGGAUGCUUGCUUAUGGGGCAUCUGCAGAGCAGGUGGAUGAGAUUGUAAGGAUGAGAAAAUCAACUAUCCUAGAGUGUUUGGUGAGAUUCUGUGAUGCAGUGGAAAAUUUGUACACGAGGGAGUACCUUCGCAAACCCACGCCGAGGGACCUGCAAAGGUUGCUACAAAAAGCAGAGGCUCGAAGUUUCCCAGGCAUGAUUGGAAGCAUUGAUUGCAUGCACUGGCAGUGGAAGAAUUGUCCUACUGUUUGGCAAGGAGACUACGGGAAUCGAAAGGGCCAAAAAAGUAUAAUCUUGGAGGCCGUAGCUUCAUUCGACUGUUGGGUUUGGCAUGCCUUCUUUGGGGUUGCCGGAUCUCAGAAUGACCUGAAUGUCCUUGGUCAAUCCCCGGUGUUCGACAAGGUAUUGCGAGGUCAUUCCCCCCAGGUCACGUACCAAAUCAACAAUACCAUAUACUCUGGUGCGUACUACCUUGCCGACGGAAUUUAUCCUAGGUGGACGACAUUCGUGAAAACAAUUCCGAAUCCCCAAUUCGAGAAGGAAAGAAGCUUUGCUUCCUUUCAAGAAGGUUACAGAAAAGACGUGGAAAGGUGUUUCGGUAUCUUGCAAGCUCGUUGGGCAAUUAUCAGGGGUGCUGCUCGAAUGCUAGACGAAGAGGUGUUGAGGAGUAUUAUGAUGACUUGCAUCAUCCUCCACAACAUGAUUGUGGAGGAUGAGUAUGACUACGAUGCUCCAGAGGUGUUUGAACCCGAUCCCAUGAACACGGCAUUGACAAGAAUAUAUGAAAGGCCGAUGGGACCAAAUGGACUACCAAUGGAGCCCGAACCGUUAGUUCGGGAUGGUCGAUUCAACAACCCCAUGAUUGAUCGUUAUGAAGAAAUGCAAUCUUCAUAUGUUCACGAGAGACGUCAAGUUGACUUGAUCGAGCACUUGUGGGAGAUGAAAGGCAAUCACAAUGGAUGAAGUCAAGAUUAGUGCUUUGUUUGGAAUUAUGCUUUGUUUUUUAUUAUGCUUUAUUUUGUGUGUGUUGUUUUAUUGGAAUUAAUGCUUUAUUUUUUAUUAUUAUUAUGCUUUUGUGUAUGGUUUGUUUUGUGUGUUGUUUACAAUAAAUUAAGGUUUGAUUUUAAUUAAUCUUUGUUUUGAUGCUCAAAUAUUUUUAAUAAAUAGUCAUAUUAUUUAAUGCUUUGUUUAUUUAAUGAAAAGGAAACAAUACAACAAAUUAAAGGAUAAUACAACAAUACAACAAUACAACAAAUUAAAGGAUAAUACAACAAUACAACAAUACAACAUAUGGCAAAGGUGUUUCAAUACAACCUAAUGGUUUUCAUCAUUUAACCAAUCCGUAUUGCUAGGUCCGUCGUCAUGGAAAAGUCUUCUUCUCAUCACAUCCCUUCGUCUAUGCUUCCAAUAUGCCUUUGUUUCAGGAGACAUAUGGCUCGUAUCCAUGACCAUAAUUUUCAUCUCUUUAUCAUCCAUGUCUUUUUCUUGUGCAUGCUGCUGUUGAAUUGCAAAUAUUUCCUCUCGUGCCUUGUCCACUUCAUCUUUUUUCAAGUCUCUCUCAAUUCUUAGUGAGGUGUUCUUAGCUAUUUGCUCCAAUAAUUGUAUACAUUCAUUGUUCGAAGUGCCCCCUCUCUUGGCCUUUGCCGCCUUUCUCCCAAUCGGUCUCGGCGGACGUAGGAGUGGUGACUCCGUUUCCAUUGGAGAGUCCAAUGGUGAAUCGGUUGAUGGUGAAUCAUGGAGUGGCGUCUCAUUCAACACAACCGAAGGACCGGUGGGAAUAAUUUUGAAUCUCGAACAAUCCUUCACAACUUCCCAACAUUGAAAAUGCACGAAACUUUUUUUGCCUUGCCCCAUGGCACCGAACCACAUUUGUGCUUGUAUGAUCUAUUAAAAAUAAAUAAUUGAAGUGCAAGAAAAAAAAAUUAUUAUGCAAGAAAAUUAUACUAAUUUGAAAUGCAACAAUAAAAUUAAUUAUGCAAGAAAAUAUAUACAAAUUGGACAUGCAAAAAGAAAAAAAAAAUUAUGCAAGAAAAAGAAAUAGAAUAUGCCAAAAAAAAAAAAGUUACAUUAAAUUGAUGAAAAUGGUAUUAUAAAUAUUUUACCUCAUCGGAUAGAUUUUGACCGCUUCGAAUGUUCUCCCUUACUUUUGUCAAGGCAUUUCUCCAUUUGCCUAACUCUUUAUUUAGAAGUUUCCAUCUACUAGACAACGCCAUUUCGGUCCGAAUGGAAUCCGAUCUUUGACAAAAUUCUCCAUGAAUUUUGCUCCACAUAUGAUGGAACUUUAUCUCAUUGCCCGUGAUAGGGUCAUGACUAAUGUUCACCCAAGAGUGACACAACGCAAUAUCUUCCUGAGUUGACCACGAACUCCCGGUUUCGACAGAAGAUGCCAUUUGUUUGUUUGUUUGUUUGUUUGUUUUUUUUUUUAUACAAAUGGAAAGUAGUAGAAAAAUGUGAGUGGAGGAUAAAAAAUAUUGGAAGGAGAAGAGUUUGUAUGAAGAAUUGGUGUGGGAAGUGAAAAAUGUGAGUGAAGAGUAAGAAAUAUUGGAAGGAGAAUAGUUUGUGUGGAGAAUUGGUGAGGAAAGUGAAUAAUGUGAGUGGAGAGUAAAAAAUAUUGGGGAUGGAGAAGAAUUGUAUGAAGAUUUUGUGUGAAAAGUAAAUAAAAUGGUUAGGUAUUUAUAGGGAAAAAAUACAGAAUUUUUUGGUAUUUUUUUAAAAAAAUUUCAGAAUUUUUCAGAAUUUUUUUAGCAAAAAAAAUGAGGACCAUCAGAUUUCUGGAAAAAAAUCCAUCGGAGCGUCCCUGGCGCGACAUGUGGCUUUUUACCGUUGGUUGCUGUCAGGGCUGACGUCAUCGCACGAAGUUAAAAUUUUUUUUUACCGUUGGCGCGUGUAAUUCACGCGCCAAAGGUAAAAAAAUUUAAAUUCCGCGUGCGCUGACGUCAGCAUUACGUCAUCCAACUUGGGCUCAAGCCCAGGCUGAAGUUGCCCUUGGGCCUGCCCGGGGUCGUGGGACCCAGCUGCUGCCCGGGCUGUCUUCCUCGCGCUGGAGCGACUUCGGGCUCGCCUAGGGGCCCUUUCACCCGGUUUGAGUCCUGCGCUGGGCUCGCUCUUAUGAGGACUAUUAAGUAUAUGUUAAUUCUCAAAUCUUUUUUUUGGAGAACAGGAUUUCCUUUUAAAUGAAAAAAAGAAACUAAAGAUUAAAUUUAUACCGUCGAUGAGGUCUAGCCCAAUAUGAAAAAAAAAAAAAAAAAAAAAAUUAAAAAUCCCAAUUACUAAAUAACCUAGAGCUAUUAUGUGGAGAAUUUGUUAACAGCUCAAAAUGACCACCUCAAUGAGAUUGCAUCACUUGUAUGGCUUUAACAGUGUUGAGGCCCAAAGAAUUCAAGAGUUGGGUUCAAAUAUAUUCCAAGUCUAGUGCGAUACUUUGCUAAAGAGAAAUUCAAUUUGAGCACGCGAAAGUUCGUCAUACACGCUCGCAUGAGUCACGAUCCACAUGCCAUGCCAAAUAAAUAUGUAAUCCGUCACGCUAAGGAUUGAAAUGAGCCUAUAAAAUGCACUAGCUCUACGAACCCAUGCUAAUUAUCCCAUCAAGCAUCAUAUCCCUUUUCAAAAAUGAUAAAAUUCAAGCACACCAAUCGACAUGCAAUGCCAAGCAGAAAACCCUUAUUUUUGUACCUAGCCACACUACAAGCUUAAGUGGGCCCAAGCGACGCAAAUGGCAGGGGCUUGCUGAGUGGGUUGUGGUAUGAUGAGCUAAGAAAUGGAAGUUUUGGGCUGCUUGAGAGCCCCAAAACUCGAGCCCAUUUCUUAAGCCCAAAUAUGUGGGUAAGCAUAAAAGAGAGGAAAAUGUAGCCCAUUACUUUAGAAAAUUGGCCCAUCCCCUUAGUAGGCUAACCCAUCACCCUAGAGAAAGGCCUAAAUGACCAAGAAAAUAUCUGAAAGUAAACCAUGACAAAACCCAAGGGUUACUCAUGUAUACAGGCUGCCUGGGAGACUCCAGCACGUGGUCAAAAGCAAACCUCAAGGUAGACCAUUAAAAAACCGAAGGAUAUUAGUGCGUGCAGGUUGCUAGGAGAAAAAGCACCUUUUAGACCAACGCCGUUACCCAUUUCUUUCUUCUACCAACUUUUGCCAUGAAAUAAGGGAGGAAAGAAGGAAAGAUGGUAGCCAAAGAUAGGAGAUGUCCACUGAAACAGCUGCGGGAAGGCUUUAGAGCUCCCAAAAAUCUUGUCUCUGUGUGUUUGGAGUGAGAAUGAUUUCACAAAAAUGAGGAUAAAUUGAAGGAAGAAAAGAGAAAUGAAGGAGAAGACUUGGCAAAAUUGGAGAGAAUUAACUAGGGUUUCUUGGGAAAAAGGAGCUUCCAGCACCUAUAAAAGAGGGCAUCUCCUACCCAUCAUCUUAACCACAUCUAGAGAGAGCAAGCAUCACCUCUCAUCCCUGGAACCCUUAAAUUUCGAGCCAUAUUCCUCCAUCUUUUCCCAUCUUCUCUUCUGGCAAGCCAUUCCAGAGCCUGAUGAAGCUUUCGUCAAGCUGCCAGAAUAUUGCUCAAACCACCCACUUCUCCUUCCUCAUCUCUUCCUCUCUCUCUCCUCAACAAAUUCUCUUGAAAUUCCUUUCCCUUUACUUUGAACCCUUGUUUCUCAUAGGAAAUCCAAGCCCUCCCUCUUUUUGAUGCUAAACUCAUGAAUGCUUAGCUUCUAUGCCACAAGCUUCUCAAGCUAAGCCAUAUAUUUAUCUGUAAGCAACUGUUGGUUUUGUUGGUGAAGGAGACUAAGGUGUUUCCUAAGGCUCUACAACCCUUUCGAAGCACUCUUGAGGUCUGAUUCUUGAACUCAUACACAAGGGCAAGUUCACCCGUUUGGACUUUACAGCAGCCCAGACCUAUCUUUAGCUGCCGGAACGAAAAAGCCCAUACAAACAGCUCAAAGUAAGAAUUAUCCCUUGUCACCAGUGGCUGAGCCACAUAGGCGCAAGGAGGUGCAGUUGCACCUCCCAUCUCCGAAAAACCACAUGGCAACCGUGGAUAUUAACCUUUGCAUCUUUGGUUGGCUGGGCAGGAAUGCCCAUCAGGUGUUUGUGUAAUUUUCUGAGUGAAGCUUGUCCUGCAUGCUGGGUAGCAGGCAAAACUAGCCAAAACUACUUCGUUUUGGACCAUGUCACUUAAAAUAAAUUGAACUUGUUUCUUUUCAUUACUCCUUAAUUCAUGGCUCCGCGACUUCUUGCCACCAUACUUGAAGACUAUGUAAAUGGAAGUUAUGUAAUUAUGUCUUGUAGUAGGAAUUUUUAAAGCUUUGUGUGUGUGUGUUGUAAGUAAUGGAAUGGAAGUGUUCAUGUUCAUAUUUUGGAGUUUGAUUAAGUUAUCUUUGCAUAUCCCGGUAGUUGGAAAUCUAAAGGGGUCUUUAGUAUCCUAUUCAAGUAGGGAACUCAAAACUUUAAUUUUUCUUAAAAAUAAGGAGUUCUCAAAUACAAUUUUUAAGAUUCGAAAACUUGUUUAGUAUCCUAUUAAAAUAUGAACUCAAAAACUUUAAAAACAAGGAGUUCUAAAAUCCAUGUUUUAAAACUCAAAAACUUGUUUUGUAUCCAACUUGAAAACAGUUUUUAUAAAUAAAAAAAAUCUGAAACAGAUUUUUUUUUUAUGUUUUCAAGUAUUUGAGUGUUUUGAGUUUAGAUUUUCAAAACUAGACCUACCAAACAAAUUUUGAGUUUUGAACUCAAAUUCUGUUUUUGAGUUUAAAAAGUUGGAUUCAAAUCCAAUACAAGAAGUUACUGAAACAGACUUGAAGACUUAAUUGCUUGUUCAUGUAAAAUAAGAGCUCACCUCUUUGGAUUUAGUUUAGGCUGAAUAUGGACCGUGACAAAAUAAAUUUACAGAAAUCAGCUUUUUAUCUCAGUCCUAAUAUUGUUUCUGACAUUAUGGAGUUUUUGGAUGAUUUUCCUAGUGUACCGAUAGUCAGGUUUAACCAGCCUCGACCGAGUAGAGGCAUAAUAGAACUAUUUAGUUUUGUUUCAAAACCAGUUUAAUUCUUGGAAAGUUUUAAGGAUGUUCAACUUUGAGUGAGUGCUAAAAACCUAAACCAGAACCAUACAUGUAAAGAACACACAGUAAUUAUUUUAUAAGGAAUUUUACUCACAAUUAUAGCACAAUCUAAACCAUCUGCCUGAUAAUCUUCAUUUUCGAUCAAACACGGUUGCCAUAGAAAGUUCGAAAUUUUUGCAUAUAGUGACGUUGAUUUGAAUUUUUUGCAUAUAGUAACGUUGCUCAGGAGGUAAUUGGUAGAAGAGCUGAUGCUGUGAUAAAAAAAAGAAGAAAUAUAUUUACAGAUGGAAAGAUGAUGAGAUGUUUGAGUCAUGUUAAGUAUGGGAAAGUAGAAAACCAGUCUUAAGAAAGACCACACAAUUAACCCAAGUGAAAUCACAAAUUACUCUGGCAGGUACAGAACUCCUUGUUUCACUCACCAGUAACAAAAACUGAAACUACACUCUUUAAGUUCAUUCAGACCAAAAUUUCACAAAGGCGUCUAUAAACGCUUUAAAUACAUCCCAAAGUGGGUUACCUUCUGGUUUUGCCGACUUUUGAGAUCUCCCUUCCCAUGAUUCACUGCCAAGAGAAACAAUCGACCAGGCAAAUUAAUGAUCCUAAACAAGAAUGUUAAAUUGCCUAGUUCUGUAAGUAAAAAACGAACACUCCGUUGGUUUACUACAUAUACUUACAGAUUAAUUCUGUCUAAAGUUGGGCUGCUUCCUUUCUGGGAGCUGCCGCUGGAUUGAACAUCAACUUCGUCUUCAAUCACAAGCACCUCUUUGGUUUUUGACAGCUCACUACUACCACCGGUACUAUUUAUAUGGUUCGUAUGUAGGCUGUCUGGAGCUUUGAUAGCCUGUAAAAAUGCAGUAACAAUAGUUUGAAGCUGAAAUUUCUACUCCGACAUGAUUUGAACAAAAGCAACUAUUGUUAAGAGCAAAAGAGAAUUCUGCACUCAAUAUGGUAUGGAUAAUUGAAUCCUUACUAUCAAUCUAAGAGACAAUGUUGAAGCAAAUUCCAACCAGCAGUGUUAACAUCAUUACUAGACCUAGACUAACAAUAUUAAAAUUGAGGGCACAACCAAUCAUGAAUUGCAAGAAUGCAAAUACAUGACCAUAUCAACCCUUCAUUUUUAAUUAUAUAUUAAUAAUUAAGAGAACAAUUAUGAAAAAUCUAUAGACAUUCAAAAUAUAACUACCUUAGGCCCAGCAGUCAGCUGACUCUGUACUAAGAUCUCAGAUGUUGGAACAUCUUUAUGAGGUGCUUUGACAUUAAGGUCUGUGCUUCCUUUUUCACGCACAACGCCAUCGUUAAAGGUUGAGCAAUUUGAGCUUUCAAGUGAUGGAUCUCUGGCAUUUCCUAAUGCUUCCUCAUCCAGUGAGCCGGAAUUGUUCUCAAGCAAUGGACUUGAAAGAUUCUCCUCUACUCGAUCCUCGGUAGAUAUAGCCAAAUCUGUCACUUCUUGUAACCUUCCAUCCAAGCUCUCACUUGUCUCAUUAGCCGGCUUUAAUGGAAAUGUCUCCACUAUCACAUCUGCUGCUAUAGGAGUCACUUUCGACCUAGAUGUUUCCGGAACUUCUUCAACAUUCUUCUCUGCUUCCAAAGGUUCAAUUGUUUGUAGCUCUGUACAUGGCAGUUCCUCAGUUUUUUUGUCUUUCAGAUCUACCUGGUUACCAUUGAUUAAUCCAUUGUCAACCAUCUGAUAUUCAGGCCCGAUACAAUCCCCAUUAUGAACUACAGAUUCUUCAGCAACAUUCUUCUCUGUUUCCACUGGUCCUUUUACUCGUAACUCUGUACAUUUCAGUUCAAACUCUUUGUUAUUCACUUCAACUUGAGUACCAUUGAUGAUUUUCCCAUUGUCAAAAUUCUGACGUUCAAGUGUAGCUAAAUGCCCAUCCGAUGUGAAAACCAGUUCUUCAAUUCUACCCUGAUUUUGAUUGGAGAUAAACUGAGAUUGAUUUAAUGAUAUUGACAGAGUAUUUGGUGGUUCUGUAGCGAUGGAACCCAAUGGAUUUUGUUCCAAGAAAUGAUCAAUGGUCUGCUCCUCUGCAGUAAACUUAGCAGGACCCAGCACUCUAUUUUCCUGGAUUAUAUCUCGGACAAUCUCUCGUACGGUGUAGAAAGACCCGCCAACUUCCUUGUGGGUCAGAUUAAGUGAUGGGAAACUCCCAUUGUUUAGUUUCUGGUACCUGUAAGCAAGAUCACUAAACAGGUUGCAGUUAUCUGCUUCCUUGAGAAAUUCACAAAUGGAAAAUAGAUAUUCAAAAAUCUUACGACUAAGAAAAUACAACAGUAGCACUAUUAUAUCCUAAUAGUCCCUCAAGCUUGUAACAGGCAACAGUACUACUGCAUAUACCUAUAAAAAUUGGUCCAACAAAACAAUAUUGCAAGUACAACACAAUUAUAUGUUUUAUUCCUAUGAAACAUCAAGGUUACUAUUAGCUUUUCCUGUUCAUUGACCUGAACUUGAGAAACAUAAAAAUAAAAAGUCCUUAAAAGAGUGGUCAGACAGAAUAAAUUUUCUUUAUUCUUACAGGUAAAAUAAAAAAUAUCAAAGCACUGUACAUCAAACAAUUUGGGUGGCAAUCAAUCGGAAAGAAGCAUAUAUCUUCAAAGUUGGUCAUAAGCUCAUCCAGAAGCAAUAAACACAGAUGUAGAAAACGGACCAUGACUUAAAGACAUCCAAAAGCAGUGUGGUAUCCUGCUGAAUAAGAAUAAAGUAGUACAAAAAACAAACAAUCACAGGACGAGAGGUAAUGCUUGGUCAACAGCUUCCAAUUUAAGAUAAUUUAAUACAGGAAUAUAGAAUUCAUUCUUAUUUCAUUAUCCUGUGUAAAGGGUCGGGAGAAGAUCAAAUUUAUUACUGGUGCCCAUAAUCUUAGUAGAUUUCUUCAGAACUAUAUUGGUUAACAGAUUAGUGAUUUUUACAUCCUUUUCUCAGUAAGUUAGAACGGUAGCAAUUUUAAACAAAGAAACUAUAAUCAUAUAAUGUGAUUACGUUUUUAUAAAGGAUUCAACCAUUGCCUUCCUCUCCUCCUUUGAACGCCGAAUUCGGGACUUCCUUCCUUCAGAUUCAUUGUUUUUAGCCAGGGCAAAUGUACGCCCUGCCCAGCCACCCUUUAUAGCAUGCAUUACAUUCGCCACUUGUGAAAUUCAAACCUACACGCAGGUAAGCUAUGUGAGAUACAGAAACAUUGCAUUUAAAAAUAUCUAAUGAACGAACAGACACUAACAAUUUAAUACAAAAAACAUUACAUUAAAAAAAAAAACAUUUGCCACUUGUGAAAUCUUAUUUGUAUUUUGGAUAUUUGGAUGAUGUCUAAGUAAUUAGAAUAAAGGAUCAAAGCAGGCACUACAUGAAUACUUAUGUCUCUCAACCACAAAUGGCAUCCAACAUGCAAAUGUCCAAAAAUAGGGUCUUCUAAUAACGAAUCUGUUUCAUAUUUUAACAGAAGGACAACAUUAUUAAUAGGAGGAUAAAUGCUCUGAACAACAAUGGUAGUCAGGAAUCAUUAAAAUAAAAUAAAUUCAAAGACAAACAAAAAACAAAAGAAUUGAGUGAGAUACAACAAAUCAAGUAGUAAGGAAAGACAAGUGAAGCCAACACUGAACUUUAAAAAGAACCAAACUGGAAAAAUAUAUAACUUUAAUCAUUUGGGUAAAUAACGUUUCAAAGAUAUACAAUGAUGACUCGUCAUCACAAUCACCAUGGCUCCUGAAUCAUAAGUCUUACUUUCCCUUUCAGAAUAAAAUGACCUUGAAUGUACUAUUAUACACAAGCACAUCAGUCAAUAUGGAAAGCUCAAACAAAUCAUGGGUGAUGAAAGGAAAAGAAAGAAAAUCUUAUACUACCUUUAUGCUAUUGACUACAGUGAGAUAAGGGGAAAUAUUAAUGUCGAAACUUACACAAAAAUUUCUUUUGUACAAACAAAAACCCCAGCAAAUGAAACCAAAAGUUGCCCCAGUGCUUCAGGAAAUUAUCAUGGAUAUACCAGUUGGGGAUAUGGCAUGAAUGAUUUGCGUGCAACUUGAAAAUAGAAUCAAAAUAUGAGUAUUAAAACAAGAUCAUAAUGUAGAAGUGUAAGUUCACUUUUCAAGAGUUAUAAAGUCUGGUUUAUUAUAAUUUUGAAUUGAUGUUUUGAGAGUUCAAAAUACAAACUUAUUUUGUUUCCUACAAUUUAUUUGAAACUUGGCAAAACAUACAGUCACCAACAAGAAUUCUCACCUAAGAGGGCUCCGACAACCCAAAGAAAACAGGGUAAAUCAUAAAUAAAUAAAAUACACAAUAAUAAAGUAGCACAAUGAAUCUUUUCUUAAAUCAACCUUCGAAGAAAACGUAAUAGCUCACUGGUCUAGCUCCAUGGAUUUUUGAGUGCAGAGAGGCCAGAGAAGUUAACCCAAUGAUGCCAACAGGGUCUAGUCCAGUGGAAAAAGGGGCUAGACUUGGAGACUGGUGGUCUUAGGUUUGAACCCCCAUGGCAUCUUCAUUGUGUGUGUGUGUGUGUGUGAGAAAUCCCCCACCCCUCUCUAGUUUAGACUUUAGACUAUCGCUUGUACUAAAAAAUAAAUAAAUAAAUCAACCGAAUGAUUUUUAAAAUAGCCACAAGUUAAUAUGGGCCAGAUUUUGGUAACUAAUUGAAGAAAUAGAGCAUCAGCAACAUAUACAAAGUAACAUAGCAUGUGUGUUUUAUGUGUGUGUACAAAAGGGUCGCAGUUUUAAGCACGCAAACAAUCCAAAGACAUCAACAUCAAGAGCAGCCAAGAGCAACCCACAUAAGAAGAGAGAUAUAUCAAGAAAACCCAACAUUAAAAACAUGAAUUUCAGAGAACUGAAGAAUUUAAAACUGCCACAAGAUAUGUGUAAACUCAAACAGACUAAUCACAAAAGAUGGCGAUAAAAAAGCAAAAAUCUGGAAAUGAGGGUCAGAAUGAAGCACCUAAGAAUUGGGAAAACGAAAGAAGCACAGAGAGUGAGAGAAUUACCUGAACUGAGGACGAGAGAUUAGGUUUCGGGGUUUUUCAAAACCCUACUGCUACUACACAGUGAGGCUGACUGAGAGAGAGAGUAAGAAGCCAAAAUGGAAAUACAAAAUAAAUAGAAAAAAACAAAACGACUCUCGAGUGUUGAGUGGCAGCAUUCUAAUUGGUAAAGCUGUGAGAGGGCGGGAGGUGUGUAAUUAUUUCAACUCGAGCAGGGGGUAAAUGGUAAAAUCACAAUACUCAUUGGGUCGCACCUGACCUGACCACCAUUCUGCAAAGGGUAAAUGGGUAAUUAGGGCAGAAUAAAUAACUGAGUCCAUUAGGUUGAGCCCAAGACAAAUUAAAUGGAAAGGCCUGGCCUGCUUCAUUUUCCCCCAUUUUUUCCAAUUGUUUGACUGAUUUGUAGCUCUCACCUCUUAUUUUCUUCUCAUUACAAUUGAAUGGCUGUGAGAAAACCACAGCACCAUGGAAAAAUAAAAUCAAAACCCACUUUGGAAGUUCACUUGGUUUUAUUAGUGGCACACCCCAAGAUUGCAAAUUUAUUUCUCUCGCCUUUUCAAUCUACUCUCACAGUUUCUGGGAAUUUCGCAAACUCAGAAUCAAACUAACAGUUGUUGGAGUUCAGGUAUGUAACCACAUCUCUCAUAGUUGUUGUUUCUCAUUUAAGUUCUCUCUCUAAAGAUGAAAACUAUGUUGAAAUUUGUAUAAUGACAACCUUUAUGAUCCUACUCUUCCACAGGAUAUACAAUUCUGGGUUGUUUCUCUUUUCCUGUAAAUUUCAUGGAAAAUGCAAGCUUUGGUCACUUGGCCUUCAAGGGCUGAAACCUGGGCAGUGCCCCAGUUAGGCUUUGAACUUGGUUCUUCUUGUAAAUUUAGUACUAGGAUAAGAAGAAAAAAAAUGUGGAGCCUUGGUUUUCCUGUUUGUUAUGGUAGAAGUGGUGCUGUAUUAUUACUUUCUAGCAAUUCAGGGGCUAUUGGGGCUGAGGCUUUUAGUGGAAGCCCAAAAUUCGAUUUUGGUUGUGGAUGUUUUUCUGGGUACUCUAAACUUAAACCUGCUCGCAUUUGUCAGUCUAAGAAGCGUUCCUUUGGUGCUUCGUUUGUAGUAGCAUGGGCAUUGGAAGAACAAGCAAUUGGGAAUGACAUUGUUAUAGAAGAAUCCACAUCGGAACAUAGGUUGUCAGGGGAAGGUGAGAGUAAGGGUGUUGAUCAUCUAAUUGUGGAUGAAGCAGAGGGUGGUGAAGAUAAAAAUGAAGUAGAUGUAAGAAAUGGAGGAGCAAAUUGGGAGCAGAAAAAUGAGAAGAUUGAUGUGCGUGCGCUAGCAUUGAGCUUACAGUUUGCAAAAACAGCAGAUGAUGUAGAGGUGGUUCUUAAGGACAAGGGUGAUUUGCCCCUUCAAGUAUUCUCAUCCAUGAUCAGGGGUUUCGGAAGAGACAGAUUGAUGGAUUCUGCAUUUGCUGUUGUUGAAUGGCUUAAGAGAAAGAGUGAAGAAACUAAUGGUUCGAUUACCCCAAACUUAUUCAUAUAUAAUAGUCUUUUGGGUGCAGUGAAGCAGUCUAAACAAUUUGGAGAAAUGGACAAAGUCUUGAGUGCUAUGACUGAGGAAGGGGUGGAACUGAAUGUUGUAACUUACAAUACUAAAAUGGCAAUUUACAUAGAGCAAGGACUAAGUACUAAGGCCCUUGAUGUACUUGAGGAUAUUGAGAAGAAGGGCCUGAUUCCGUCUUCAGUGUCCUAUUCUACAGCAUUGCUGGCUUAUCAACGAAUGGAAGAUGGAAAUGGAGCUUUACAGUUCUUCAUUGAGUUCAGAGAAAAGUACCAUAAAGGUGAUAUAAGUAAAGAGUCUGUUGAAGACUGGGAACAUGAGUUUAUACAGCUUGAGAACUUUACAAAACGUGUUUGCUACCAAGUGAUGCGCCGGUGGCUUGUGAAGGACGAUAACUUAAGUACCAAUGUUCUAAAACUUCUAGCACAGAUGGAUAUUGCUGGGGUUCCACUCAGUCGGGCAGAACACGAGCGCCUUUUGUGGGCUUGCACCCGUGAAGAACAUUAUACUGUGGCAAAAGAAUUGUAUAAUAGGAUAAGGGAAAGGCAUACUGAAAUAGGUAUAUCUGUGUGUAACCAUGUAAUUUGGUUGAUGGGAAAGGCUAAGAAAUGGUGGGCAGCUUUGGAGAUUUAUGAGGAUAUGUUGGACAGGGGGCCGAAGCCAAAUAACAUGUCGUAUGAAUUGAUAGUAUCUCACUUUAAUGUUCUUCUGACUGCAGCUAGAAAAAGAGGAAUUUGGAGAUGGGGCAUCAGGCUGCUCAACAAGAUGGAAGAGAAAGGUCUUAAACCUAGAAGUAAGGAGUGGAAUGCAGUUCUUGUUGCCUGUUCCAAGGCUGCAGAAACUUCUGCUGCUGUCAAGAUUUUUAAAAGAAUGGUGGAACAAGGUCAAAAACCUACAGUACUUUCUUACGGAGCAUUGCUUAGUGCCCUUGAGAAGGGAAAACUCUAUGAUGAGGCCCGGCAGGUGUGGGAACAUAUGCUUAAGGUUGGUGUAAAACCGAACUUGUAUGCAUACACAAUUAUGGCUUCAGUGUUCAGUGGACACGGAAAAUUGAAUAUGGUAGAUACCAUCAUUCAUGAGAUGGUUUCAUCAGGAAUCGAGCCAACCGUUGUCACAUACAAUGCCAUUAUCAGUGGGUUUGCACGAAACGGUUCAACCAAUGCUGCAUAUGAAUGGUUUCAGCGCAUGAAGGAUCAGAACAUUUCACCAAACAAUGUUACGUAUGAAAUGAUGAUUGAGGGUCUUGCCAAUGGAGGUAAACCAAGGCUUGCAUAUGACUUAUAUUUGACGGCUCAAAAUCAGGGCCUUGACCUCUCACCAAAGUCUUAUGAUAUAGUUGUUCAAUCCUCACUGGCUUCUGGAGUUGCUAUUGAGGGAUUUUUAGGGGCUCGGCCACCGGAUAAAAAGGAAGAAGUGCAAGGUAGAAAAUCUUCUACCCAACUUUCGUAAACUCAGCUAUUCCCAAAUGAAGUAAACCAUUUGAUACUUGAUAGCUAGAGAAAGGAAAUAUAUGCCCUAAACAGAUCAACCAAUGAGAAUUCAUUCCCAUGAAAUUUCUGUGACUUUCAGUUCAUUCCAUGUACAAACACCAUAUAUAAUUGUUUGUAAAGUAACUUUGUACCAGCCUCUUUAAUCUCAGGCCGUCUGCUGCUUAAAACAUGGAUGUUUCUUUUUCCCCUUUGUAAACAACAAAUUAGAGAUAUGCUCAGGCAUUUACAGGAACUGCUAGAAUAUAGUAUGUGCUAUGUUAAUGCUAUUGGAGCUCAGAACUCUGGACGAAUAUGAACAAACUCAAUAUAAAUGCGCAAGGCUAAAUCAUUCUUCAACCGAAAGUGAAGGUGUUCUUGUAUCUUGUUUUGUCCGCAUAUUUGUAAUGGAUGAAAAUAUGAGUGCUUAUCUGAGUUUAGAUUUACGACGUUGCUAAACCAAGAGCAUGAAGAUCGAUUUUUUGCUUAAUGCCAUUGCUAGAGUAAAAUACAGCCUUACGAGUUCACAUGUUGCAUGCCAGUUCUUGUCAAAGAGAAACCUAGCUAGUGUUUCUUUUGAGGUUGUGAUACAUCUUGAUGUAUCACUGAGUUGUAUAGGCCGAUGCCCGAGCAAAGAGCCCGCCACACAACCCAUUUACCACUCACACCCCGUCACCGUAGUCAGACCUUAUUUUCUAGUUUGGAUUACCAUUGUCGACAUAAUAACAAGGGGCAAGAGGACAUUCAAUUCACUGAUGUAGGAAAAUUGAUGCAUUUUCUUCCCCAACAUCAUGUAAUCUAAUCACCUCUGUCGUGAAAAUUGAUGCAUUACACUAAAUCAUGCACAGUUUGUCUGGUUGAAGAGGCAUGUAUUAGACUAGUUGGGUCAAGAUCAACACAACAUGAUUAUUAAUCUCGUCGAGUCUUCUCAACACGAACAUACACUAUUAUUACACGUGUAACCAAGAUGACAUGAACAAUAAAAUCGCUGGGAAACUGUACGUUCAGUGUAUGAAAAAAUCAAAACAAGAACCACCGAGAACUGCUUUAUUUUAAUCAAAAUUUCCUAUCAACAUUGCCAAAAGAAUACAUGAUGUUGUCAAUUGUGAAAAAGAAUUUCAACGAAUGUUUGUGUAUACUGCUCAAAAACUAGGUAGCCUCAGACUGUUUGUGUAUACUGCUCAAAAACUUGGUAGCCUCUGCCUCUGCGACUUGAAACGUGUAAACGCCUCACAUGCUAAGUGAGCUGCAAUUGCUGGAAAAGCUACUGUCUUCCACCCACUUCCGAGUAUCUAUAUAUUCAGUCAGAGAAAAAGACCUACAAAAUUCCUCUUUACAAACCAUACCGUCGCUGUUAGAAAGAAUAAUCGUAUCCUCCAUCCUCGAGAGUCUUCUUCUUCCACUCCCAAGUUGACGAGUUCAGUAACCAUAUCGUAAUUCUGAGUGUGACAGAAUUAGGACUAGACCAUUUCAACUACAACUAUAACCUUCCUAUCCUCCAAGCGUCUUUUGUUUGUAUCCGUACUUCAUUCUUUCAAGUAAUUUUUCUUUUGUUUUCCUCUUCUUGUCCAUCUUUAGCCUGUAUCUCACUUCCCUUUCCCUCUCAUAAAUUCCUUGCCAAUGCACUUCGCCGGUUAGCGGCCACAACCAAUUCUCCCUUGGAUGGUCACCAUCGUCUGCAGCUUCUGCUAAAUCUUCAUCCAUACUCUUCAGUAAUGUAGCAUUGAAAUAUUUUGCCCACAUGAAUGCUUGGCGUUGAUCAAUUCGGUGCUGCUCCUCCAUUGAACCAGAGAUAGGAUCUAUGUAAACCAACUUUCGUGCACUAUGAUAAGCCCAGACAUUGACAAGGACUUCUAAUACCCGACAGUAACAAUGUUUUUGCUGUUGAUUAUUAAACAAUGGUGAGGAAAAUUAAACUCCCAGUGGGAACAGAAAAACUAUACCUAAAGACCUACAUGACAUACCUCAAGCUCCGAAGAACCCAACAAGCACAUGCUUUGUCCGCUGUUGUUGGUGUGCAAUGCAUCCAGAGAAUUGACAAACAUCCUGUAGUUCAAAUACAAAAUUUCAGUUAUAAUACUCUCAUAACUAACCAUCAUCAACUUCCUUUAGUGUUGAGGGCUGCGACUGAAUAAAACCAAAAAAUGUUAUUAGAUUUCAGAUCCUCAGUAAAUUACCGGGAAAACAUUACGAACUCAAGGAACGAAUGAGUUGGCAUCACCCAGCUAUGCAACGCAGACCAGUGACCACCAUCUUCUGGCAUGGGAGGAAGAGCUUCUGUAUUAUUUGGCAAGGCAUACAUCCAGCGAAAUGCAUGUUCAAAAACAUUUCUGCAGUCAUUUUGGGUGGAAAAAAAGUUAUGUUCAAGGAACAUCGAUCUUGAUGAAUUAAUGAAAUCAAACUCAUGACUGUAGGACCAAGACAAACCCAAUCAGAAUUGAAUUGUGGAAAUAUGAAACCUUAAACACCCAAUUAAUACAUGGGAGGGUCUAUGAAUGAACGUUUUGUGCAUGCUCACAUUACGAAACUGAUGGCCCAUCUUUUUGAUUCAUUGAUAAAAAAAAAAAACCCUGUAUUUGAGUAUGUAUACCUUCCUUUUUUGCCUGACAAUAUCAAAGAGUAGUUGGUAAAAAAACUUGUUUUCAUACAUGAUUUUAUGAAGCUUGAAACAAAGCUAAUUGUGUGGUUUGGUCUAUUAAUCCAAAAAUGUAUUAUAAAGUCAUGUGAAUGCUCUGGCCAAAAAAAUGGUAAUACUAAUGAAACUGGAAUCAUUUGGUCUAAGUGCACUAUUGGCAUUUGAUGAUGAGGCAAGACAGGACCUCAUAAUCUCAUAAUACCAGCCAUAAAAUCCACUGUUCAAGAGGAUAAUUCUUGUAUAGCACAGCCCUAUGUGGCCACCUUCCCACCCACUGUGAGAGGUGGUCGCAUACAGCUGCCUCAUCAAAGAAUUUCACGUUCAAGAGCAUAUCUCCUAAGAGCAUUGCAUCACAUAUUAUAUUCGCAACCCAUGAAAACAGUGACAGCUAUAAGUCACCCAAGUUAUGUGUGCAAACAACACCAGCUCAACUAAUAUUUCAUAAAACCUACCUGCAAUGGCCCCCAUUCAAGAUGUCACAUGCGGACCAAAAAGUGAGUGCAUCUUUGCUUCCCGUCAUCCCACCAUUCAUGUUCAAGCGUCCCCAAAAGUAUAUCACAUCACCUUCCCUGUUGUCUUGUAUUGCUUCUUCCAAAACUUUUUCAGCUUUCUUGGACAAAGAAACCUGCUUGGGGAAAACAAUGAUGAAUAUGAUGCAAAACUAAAGAACAAUGCAUUCAUACAUACACACACACACUCACACACAUACAUUUUCUUUUCUUCUUUUUCUUUUUCUUCAAGUAUACGUGCAUAUAUACAUACAGUUGAAUCAGGAUAUACCAGGUUCAAAACUUGUGUUGUAGCUGAUAUCUUUCAUUAGUACAUCAAAGUUGAAGUAUAAUUUUAUUUUAUUUUUCUGUGACACCAAAACCAUUUCAAAGAACCGACAGGUUUGUGUGAGUAUAUGCAUGUAUGAAUGCAUAUAAAUAUGAAGUCCUAAUCUUAUAAUGUCCUCAUGUUAACAAAAGGACCAAAUUCUAAUUCUUGCAGUCCACCCCACAAUGUGAUCCUUUGAUAUGGACCAUCCAGUUAUUAGAUUCCCAUUCAAGGAUCAUCCAAGCAAAAAAUCAGUCAAAUUAGAAAUUAUUUACCUAUUUGAAUAUCAUUUUAUUUCUAUGUUAAUUCAAAACAUUCAUCUAUUUAUUUAUUAAUGACAAAUAGAUGACUAAACAGUUUUCGAUUUUGUAGAUUUUUUUCUCAGAUAAUCACUAAAUGGAUGCAUACAAAAUAGAUGGUUAGGAUCAUAACCACAUUGCAGGGAGGGACCCAGUGAGACUCACAAAUAACUUUAAAGAAAAAUUCCCACCACAAUAAGAAAUACCUUCCUACCAGCAGCACGCCAAGAUUGAAACCCAAUCCAAGGUCGCUUAUGGACGCUAUCCACCUUGUUUGCAAUAGCGAACAUUCCUCCAAUCUCACAGAGAAUAUUGCGAUAGUGAGUUUCAUUUAAUAUGGGAAGCCGGUCAACAGCAUCCACAUCAUCUGAUGUUGAUCUCCGUGCUCUGAUUGACUACCAAAUACAUUGUAGGAUAAAUUCAAAAGGAUAAGGCAAUUGACUCAGAUGUAAAAUAUUAUUUCAAAGUUCAAGAGAGAACUAGGGCUUUCGUAUUUAAACAAAGAUUUAUAUCUGUUACGAAAUGUAGAUAUUUUAUGUAAUUUAUAGCAUGUUUAAAUGCUUUCACUGCAGUUCUCAGUAGAAAUGCAUCCAAGUCACAGAAUAGAAUUAUUAAGAAAAGAACAUGAGACUUGCAGUGUAACUAAGAGAAUAGUAGAAAUACUGAAUAAUAAAGUGAGAAAUUAAAACAGCGUAAAAAUACACAAAAAGGAAACAGGAGAAAGAAACUCACAAGACUUAAUCCACGGUACAGAGAACCAUGGUGCAAGAACGGCCAGGUCCCAGAUCCACUGUAUAUCUCAUAAAUGCAUACUGACUGGCCUGUUCUCUCAAGUUCUCCCUCAUCCCUCUCAUUUGCUUCAAACCUAAACUUUUCAACUUUUCGGGCAUUACGAUAUAUAUCAUCCCAUAGACCAGGGUCUCUCUCCAUUCUUUCAGAUAGCUACAAGUAUAGAAAAAAUUCCGUGUCAGGUGUCUUUCGAAAAAGAUUACAUUGACACUUAAAAAGGCGUGGAAGAACUGGUGGGAUUGAGCUCAUAUCACACAAGUUCCCGUAAUUUCCAGAAAUACAUACCUCCUCCAUUUCUACCCUCUCAUAUUCUUCAGAGUUUUCAAUUUCUGUCAAGAGAUCCCAAUCUAAUUGAGUUGGAAUAUCUUGUGCCGAUUCCCAAGUUCCAUUAUCAGAGAUGUUUGUUGAGUAAGCCAAACCCGAAAACUCUUCUUCAAGAGCAUAAACAACACUAGUGCUUUCCAAGGAUGACUGCUCAUCAAUGCCUUGCAUAUCACCUGUUGUAUAAUCUAUUUCAUUCCCGAACAAAUUCCAUUCCCAUGUACCUCGUUGAAGCUCGGAGAUUGGGCCUGGCAACAGAGCAUCUGAUGGAAAAUUGAGUGCAUUCUCCAAAACCCUUGCAUAACCAGUUAUGCAUUCUGAUGCCAGCAGGUUCAUCGCAAGCAGUCUUCCAGAAGAAGCAACUGUUCGAGCAAAUUUAGAAAGUUUCCCGUUUGAAAUCAUAAGUGAGAAAGACUUCAUUAAAGCAUCAGGAUUAUGGUUUGGAAAAGUAUUUAUGUGAACUCCAUCAGUUACCUGUAAUUUCACAAAAGUAAAAGACAAUGAAACAGACCCCUCCAAAGCAUAUCAAUGAACUAUGAAGACAGGAAGAGUUUUAGGGAACUCACGUAUUUCUUCAAGACAGGAAAAUCAGGUGCAAUGACUGGGAUCCCAAAGGUCAUGGCACGGAUAAGCAAUGGAGGAAAACCUUGUACAUCUUGGAAAGAACCGUAGAGAACAAUGUCAGCCAUUAAUAACAUACUGUUCACGUCACCAUUCAAGCCGAAAUGCCUUACAGAACCGCGAGGAAGUCCCAGAGGUGAAGCAACUUCCUACAAAAGAGAUCAAUGAAUCAAAAUGCAUUUCAUAGUAGUCCUAUGAACUAAUGCCUGUAAAACAGAUCAGAAGAUUGACCAGAGUAUCAAAUGAAAUAUACAAAAGGACUUCAUUUUCAGCCACCAUCGUCAUUCUGUCCGCAAUCAAAUUCAUAUUGCAAAGUAAUCUUUCUUUUUCCAGUCAUCAUUUGCCAAGAAAAUUCUUUGCUUAAGAAAAUACAGGAGCAUUUAUAUAAGAUGCAAGAAGCUCAAAAUGUGAUAACUACUGGGACAAUAGCAUAUUCUAGUAGCAUCGAUUAAAGACUAACUACCUGGAAAGCAUCAUCAUAUCCAUCGGAGGAAUUACCACAUAAGAAAACAAAUUUAAAUGACCCUCCUGCAUCUUCCCUCCUUGCAUAUUUUAGUAGCAGUGGUCCAAUAGCAUGCAUUGCCACAGCAUAGUCCCAUGAAAGCUCAUUGUAGAGGAAUGAACUCCCAACAACUACAACCAACAUAUCAUCUUCCUCGAAUCCAUUGCUUUUCCUCAACUGAUCCUUGGAGUGGGUUUUACUGUACCUUUCUGCAGCCCAAACAUCCACUGGUGAUCCAGGAAUGACAAAGAAGUUUCCAGUGUCAAGAACACUAUAUAACAUCUGAUACAGGAUGGAAGGGUAAAAAUAAGAAAAUUGAGAACCAAUAGAAAAAUCAUUUGCAAAAAUAAUUAGAAAUAGGGUGCAAACCAAUUAUUUUGCAGACCUACCGGCAGAGUGAAAUCUGGAAACACAACAACAUUAGCUCUAUUAAAAGCCCUUUUCCAAUGAGAAACAAGAUGCUUCAAGCCCAUUUCUCCAUACAAUUGAAGACGAUUAGCAAGUGUAUCUUCUUGAAUUAUCCAUAUCAGUGGUACUGAACAAAAUGGCUCCUGCAUAAGGCUGCAUGAAUCUAAAACUCACUAAUCAUAGCAUGUCCAACUGAAGCAACUUUGCAUAUGCAUUUUGUUAUGUGCAGUUUUAAUAUGAGUAUGCCUUUAUCUUUUAUAUGAAGCUGUUAGAAAAGAAAACAGAAGGAAGGCGGAAAAAACCUAUUUGUGAACACAUUUACAUUGUUUCCAAGAAAAUUGAAGAUAGACAGAGAAUUUCAAUUAGCUCAUAGACUAAAUCAUAGCUGAAAUAAUUACUGCCCGUCAAUAUUAUAUGUCAAAAUGAAAAUAACAAGGAAUUCAGAAUAAGUUUUUGGACUAAACAAAUCGCUUGAACAAUGACAACUGCCUCUCAAGUUGUCUCCAACUUUUGUUAUAUUUUUCUUUUUCAUUCUCUGGAUUCACUGCCAUGAAUACUUCAGCAAAAUCAUCAUCGUACCCAUCAUAUAUUACAACAUCAGGCAAUAUUGCUUGAGAACAGAGACAAACAAUCCGAAAUAUUAUUUUUGGCUACUUGAAUAAGAAUACAAUUUUAUAUAGUAUAGCUUUUGUUUAAACUUCAUAUACUCUUUAAAUCUGUUACAACCAUUCCUAAUAUCUCAUCCUAACGCCAUGACACUAACUCCUAUAUUCCAAUUUUACUCCAAACACAAGCUCAUAGAUUGGAGAUUUUCUCAGCAAUAUUCAACUUUCAUAUUUGCACCUAAGUUUUCUUGCUAUUGAAGAGCAAUUACAAAUUCAAGAUAUUAAUAUGAAUAACCACCAAAAAUACUUUUUUGUCUAUCAGAUGGAAUAUGAUUGGAUUCGUGUCAAUCAGAUCAAGCAGGUAUUGCAUGCAAGGGAAGUCCUCUUAACGAUAACUAUAGAUCAUAGAAUUCAGCAUGGUAGAAAAGGAAUGUCAAACAACCCACCUUGACAUGGAUUCUUUUGCUUCAAGCGAGUCCACAAUAACACCUCCAAAACUGUAGAAAAUUAUAUGUAUUAAAUAUUUUGCCAAGUUCGCGAACAAAUGAAAAGGGUAAAUUAAAGUUACUCGUUGAUCAACAAUAGAAAAACUCUGACCUAGUAAACAAAAUUUAAAUACUUUCCAUCCAAUUAGAAAAACCAUUUAUAAAUUAGGGUAAAAAAACCCCGAUAUAAAUUAAGAAGCAGACAUACAUGGACCAAUCAAUAAGGCCAGAAUGCUCCGGAGCUAAAAUCGAAAUGUGGCCACCAAGUUGCUCCCACAUUUUAUAUGCUUUACCCUUCGCUACAGAAAAGAUCUGUCAUAUAGGCAUUGCAAGAGGGCAUAAGUAGUAGUGAGAACACAGUUAUUUAUGUUUAUGAAUCACUAAUUUUACUAACACAACGUAUAUCAAUAUGCACUAACACCUUUUUUUCCCACAUAAAAAGGAGCAGCAUAUGCAGUACCCACAAUAAGAUAAAGAAUAGCAGCCAGUAAUAGUGAAGCAACUCUCUCUCUCUCUCUCUCUAACCAUCAGACAACACUUCCACAAAAUUUUUGCUUUCUUCUCUCUCUAUUGGCACCAUGUACCCCAAUGAGCAAAGAAUUAAAUAAUUCGCAAAUCACCAACAACAAAUUAAAAACCAUGAACAAAUUGUUUUCUUUUGGCCAUUGUUGCGGACUUCAUUUUCCUCUGAAUUCCAAGAUAUACCUUUCCUUUAUUCAUCCAGCUGUUUCUUAAGAUAUUGUUGAGCCAGUUUCUAAUGUUAAUUUGAUAUACUUAAAGCAUUUAUAUGAGUGUUUCUAGCAGAUGGACUUUAGUUCUUACUAAGUUUGGACAUAUCUCUGUAUUAUAUUGAGAAAAUUAUUUUGUUUCUCAUAAAAAGGAAUAGAAAAAAGCACAUGUAAAAACAACUUACCUUAAGCUCAUAACCCAAUUUCUUGAUAUUCUUCAUCACAGUAAUCAACAUCAAUGAUUGUGGAUCUUUCUUCAUGUUUCCCAGGAUCUGACAUGUAUCAAAAGUAGGCACAACCAAUAUGAAAAACAACUCAGUACACAAAAUAUAUUAAAAUAAGAAAGACUUUUCUGGCGAGUAUGGUAUCCAAUGAUAUUGAGGCAGUUCCAUAUUCUGAUCAGGAAGUGAAAAUAAGAUUUAACCAUGGAAGGCUGCUAACAUCAAUCUUAUUAGUUAAUAAAAGAAAAAAACUGCAUAUACAAUAAAGCUUUUCUAAGCUAACACAAAUACACGGAAAUAUAGGAACCUGGUAUCCCAAACUAAGAAGAUUGACAUAAGAGACAGCAUAAAACACGAAGAUGAAGCUUACAAAUAGCCAAUCUAUGCUUUAAUAUUAGAAAGCCGCAGAUUCCAUGUGACGAAACAGAGAUCAAACAGGACUGUUUUCCAAUAAGUAACAUUGGUCUUGUAAGUUACUGGUAGAGAUUUACUAGUUAUUCGAGAGAAAAAAAUAUUUGAAAGCUCCUUACACUACCCUAAACUUCCACGGCUAGCUCAGCUUCAAACAGCCAAAUUCUUUUUUGAAAUCAUGACCAAUGAGAUCAAAACUUAAAUAACAUCCACUCUAAAAUUGGAAAAUAGAGUAUAAGGACAAACUUUGGUUUUUGAAUUUUAGGGACCAAUAAAUUUAGCCUAUUUAUCAAAAUGGGUUUACCAGAAAUGUAAAUAUACAGUCAAACAAAAAGGAUCUGAGGACUACUUCAUGUCAAGACAAAUAGUUUUUAUCAAAAAAUUUGCUUCUUAUUUGCAUAAACAUUCAGCAGAGACACUACACUAGAAACAAAUAGUUAUUUAUUGUUUACUCUGCUUAUUUCAGACCAACCUGCAGACUGCAGAUUUAACUUUAUGAACCUGACGAAGCAUAGAGGAUCUUACUAAAGACUCCAGCAAUACCCAAGAAACGUAAAAGAGAAUCUAAACACACACAAUUUACAGGUACCGCACAAUGAUAAAACUGAUAAUUUAUAAGAAACCAGGAAUAAAUUAUUUUUAACCUCAUGUUCCAAAUUUUUUAAAUUAAACAUAUAAUUCCCAAUACAUAAACACAUCACUUUCCUACAUAGUGCAAAAAGAUGAAAGAACUUUUCCUUUAAAUUGGCUUCUCACUCUACUAAGCAAGUGAAAGAGCAAUCAUAAUCCACAUGGAAAGUCAAGCUUUCUGCUUGCACCAUAUCAGCCAUUUGAGCAUACAACACGUUUUGCACCAUCCCUUCUCAAAGAUUCAAGCAACACAGGUGACAUUCAACCUUCUCAGAAAAACGCAAUUCAAUUGCCGCCCUGAUAAACUCCUUUCUGAUAGCGUCACUCUAUGGACUAAGUACUUUUCAUUUUCAUUUUUCUUCCGAUAAUUCCAAUUAAUCUCCACACCUUUGCAACAGAAUUGUUUUUUCCAUUGUAACCUACCCUUACGUGGUGUAAUAACCUCUACUAUUUCCUUAGAGAGAGCUUUCCAUGGACAGCAUAAAAUCCAGGUCUUAAUGCUAGGUGACGAUAAAAAUUCUACUUGUUUUGGACCAGAAUAAAAAAUUACUUUAAUCAGUGUUUCUUUCUCUGUUGUUUUUUUUUUCCAACUUUUUUUGGAAGACAGUGAUAACAAUGAGUUUCGUAUAGCAAAAAAAAAAAAACAUCUUCUACGCAGUUAUCCUGUUUUUUAAGUGAAUACUGUGACUACAACACUAAUAACGUCAAUGAUUUGAUGUAGAAAAUCACAAACUCUGCUCUUAAUAGAAUUUUAGAGACAAAGUCAACUAAUUAAUUUAAUAUUUUUCAGAUCAGAAUCAAAGUACCAGCAGUCUAUGGACCUUUCAUUUCAAUUCCUUAAAUGUACAAAUCCAACCUUCCUCAACAAGACCAUUUUUACUUGUCUGAAUCUUUGCACAUAUUCUCAUAAACCCAAGAGCUGCUUCCCUAAGAGUUCCCAACUUAUACCCUAGUAUCAUAACCUGUACGACACUUGUAAUACUCAAAGAAUUCAGAAAAAUAAAAUAAAUCAAAACUCGGCAUCUUCAAUAUUUCAUCAUCUACGACUUGAGAACCUGCAAGCCUCCGCUCAAAACAAUGCACCUAAAGCUACAUAGUACUUUUUAAGUCUAAACUUUUAAUUCAGCAGAAACAGGUGAUAAAAAAUCAUUAAACCAUUAAGCAUUCAUGAUAUAAAAGAGUAGAAAAGAUCAUAUUCUAGCUCAUUUCUUUCCUUUGUGUUUUCUCAGAAAUCAAACAUUCAUGUAAACUGCAUUUACCAGUUCCAGAUUCGCUCCCAUUGUCAGAAAGUGCUUAAUUAAAUUAUUAACAGAGAUCAACCACACUUGGAUAAACACGAUUUACCAAUUUCCACUAAGAACUGUAAUUUCAAAUUCACGAAAACCAAUCCAAAUUCAAGCAAAAGCAGCGAGCGGAUAACACUCACAAGAGCUAGCCUCGGCGGCCGAACACCAAUCCUCGCCUCCAUGCGAACCCGAUCGAGCCCAUCACCCUCCACGAACCUCUUCGAAACCCUCCCAGGCACAAACCUGAAGGCGCUCCCAAACUUCAAGCCUUCCCUGAGCAACCUCCCUCUCUCACUUCCUUGCCUGAAAACCAAAGUCAUGGAGCUCUGCAACACCAUCGUGGCCACCGCGAAGACGAAGACCGCGAAGAUGAGGACGACAUAGAACACCGACUUUCCUUUGAAGGGAAAAAGCCACAGCAAGCCCUUGCGAUAGAAGCGGGUGUUGUGCGAUCUCGGCCGCUGGAACGAUCGAUCCGUGUAGGCCCUGGCCCGGUCUGGGUGGUGGCUAGGGUUAGGGUUCCGCUUGGAGGGCAAGCGACCGCGAAUCGAAUGGAAGCCUAGAUCGUUACCUCCAGCACCGCCAUUGUCGUCGAGGAUAGCUGGGGGAGACGAUGAGUUCCGGCCCAUUUGCAAGGACUUUUUUUCUAAAUUUUCUCGUUGGCUAAUUUCCCGGGAAAGUGACGAGAAGCCUCCGAGGUUUAGAGAGAAAGUGAAGGUGAUGGUGGUGGGGUGGUGGUGAGAGGUGGCAUGGAGAGAGAUGGAAAAAGAUAGGUAGAAGAAAAGAAAGAAAGAAAAUGCAGCGGAUUUGCAGACUCUGUUUUUAUUUUUUUUUAUUUUUUUAUUUUUAAAAAUUAUUUUCUUGCCAACGUGAAUGUAAGUGACUGAGUGCUUGAAUUUCCCUUUUCUUUUUUUUCUUUAAUUUUUUAUGAGGUAUAUGGAGAAAUUAUUCUACACCCUCAUAAAUGACGAACUUUUUUCUUUAAUUUAGUACGACAAGACAAUAUUUACUGUAAUAAUUAUACAUGAGCGUAGUUAUAAUACCAAGUAGUUACAUUCACGUUGAUAUGGUCGGAUUCUCAAUAUUUUUAUCAGAUUUGACAAAGAUUUUAGGACAUGCUUACUUAUCACGAAUAGAGUAAGUUAUGAAUUAGAAAACUCAACUAUUAGCAAAUGAAGAAAUUAAAAUUGAAUCAAUAUUGCCUUAGUUGUUAUAAUUUCCGGUACUUGUUGAUUUUGAGAGUAUUGGAUUACAAAUUUUAUGUUGAUAAACACGAUAAAAGUUAAGAAUUUAAUAGGAACAGAAAUUGAAAUAAUUUUAAUAUUUAUUUUUGAUAAAUAAACACGCUAUUAUUGGAAUACUCGUGACCAAAAGUAAAGAGUCCAGUCCAGCGGAUGAAUGAGUGAUUUGGAAAGCGACGCGCCAAAAUGAAAAGGACAAAGCAAAGUUGACGACUUGAAGUUCAGUUUGGCAAAUUACCAAAGAGCGUGGAAAGCAAAAACGCGUUUUCAAUAAGACUUUUGCUACAAAAAAUGGUGUGUGUAAAUUAAGGCUCAUUUGGACUUCUUGCAUUACAAAGAUUAUUUUUCUGAGAGAAUCUCGAAGGAAUAUAGGAAAUUUUAUUAAUAAAACGAAAAAUUACAACGGGAGUACAACAAGUCGAAUCACUACUCAACAAAUAAUAUAAUAGGGCGUCCUGAAUAAAAUUAAAGGGCACCUCAAAUCAAAUAAAGUCAUCCACAUUAUACUGACCGAAUCAAACAAGUCCGUGUACAACACUAUCACGCAUGUGCCAAUUGGUUUUCUUUUUCUUUUUUAUUUUAUUUUUAGAAUUAAUAAAAGAUAACAGGGUAGUUAUGUUCCAUAAAAGUAGGACCUAUUAUCUUAUUUUGUUUUUAAUUUUAAUUUUUUUAAUAUUAAAAAUAUGAAUUUACCAUAUUAUUCUCAUUUAAUUAAUAAUUUCAAUUCUUAAUGUUUGAAUUAAUAAAGGGCAUUUUCUGAUAUUUUGAAUGUUUCACCAUUCUCUGCCUUUUGCUUUAUAUAUAUAGAUGCAGCAAUUUUAUGAAGUACAAAAUGCCGUUGAUGAAAUUAUUAAUAUGUCCAACAUUCAAACAACAUUAUUAGUUAGAUAAGUCUCAUUGUCAAGUUGAUGCGAAUUAUGAGUGCGAUUUUGUAGGCCUGUCAGGUUGUGAGCGUACGUACUGGCUCACGACAAUGACUGUGGGUUAGUUUAUUUUUAUUUUUAAUUUUUUUUCAUUGGCCUAAAUUGGUUUUCUUCGCGGGUAAAAAAAACAAUGUUCGUUUUUUUUUUUUGUUGUUGUUGAAAAAGAUGCUUUAUUCAUUUUCUUUGAGUAUGAUUGAUUUGAUAAUAAUAUGCGUACGAGAAUAUUAUUCAUUUUCUUUGAGUAUUAGUCUUUCCACGCUUACGAGAGACUUUUAAAAAAAAUAAUUUAAUUUAAUUUAGAAUUAAAAAAGAUAAUGGGUAGUUGUGUUCCAUAAAAAUAGGAUUUAUUAUCUAAUUUUUCUUUUAAUUUUAAUUUUUUUAAUAUAAAAUGUGUGAAUUUACCAUAUUAUCUUCAUUUAAUUAAUAAUUUCAAUUAUUAAUGUUUGUAUUAACCAAGAGCAUUUUUUGGUAUUUGAAUGUUUCACCAUUCUCUGUCAUCCAACGGUUCAAAAAAGUUUCUUAAAAGGAGUGCAAAAGUAAGUGAAUCGUUAGAUUAACAUCCAACGGUGGGUAACCACAAAUCUCUUGGAUCUCUGUAGUCCAAGAGAUCGAGACUAUGAGAAUAAUAAGAAAAAUGUGUCUCAAAUUAAAGGGAAGUUUAUUUUUCUUUUUUCUUUUUUCUUUUUUCUUUUUUAAUUUGACAAAUUAAAUUGAUGAAUAAUUUCAGUUCAUGAGAUAAGAAAUGUUUAAACAGUCAGCUUACUUCUUUAGUUAUCAACUAUUGUAUUGGUCUCAUGUAAAAGUAGUUUGUAAAUAUCAUUUUUUUUUUUCGUAUAAAAUAAAGUUUACUUCAGUAAUUGCUAAAUAGUUAAUACAUUUUAGGAGAUUAAAGCAAACUAUGUAUGCUUGUGCCUCAAAUAGCUUAAAGCAUUUAUACAAUAAACGCAUUCUUCGGUCAAUUGGUCUGCAGGUCCCCAAGAGGAAUUUGCACUUUUGCCCUCCAUAGGAUGGAUACAAUUGGGCUCAGGUUUCAUGUCCCAUGGUUUGAUUUCUUUUUAUUAAUAAAGUUUCUCUCGUGUCGUCAACGUUUCCGACACUUACAAGGAAAAGGAGGCAGCCAAAGGUCAUUAAACCUCAAGAAUUGCUUAGAAUAGAAAAGAAAUUCGUUAGUUGUUACAAUCUACAUUUGGGGGCUGUCUUGGCUUUGUGACUGACAUAUAUAGAUUCAUCUCCAUGUCAAAUGUUCGGGUUAUAGAUUUCGGAGCCAUUGAUCACAUGACGAAUAAAAAGCAAUAUCUUUGUGAUUUUUCACUAAGUCUUAAUUUAUCUUUGUAGCUAAUAGUACUGAUGUCUCAAUUUUGGGACGGAGAAAUAUUAAAUUUCUUGGUACAAAUGUUAAGUUCACUACUUAUAUGUGCCAUCGUUCCCUUUUCAGUUGCUAUUAGUCAGGAGACUGACAAAUUCCUUUAACCGUGAUGCCUUUUUUUUCUUCUUCUUUUGAUGUGGUCUUUUAGGAUCGACUUACCAGGAAGAACAUUGGUGAAGGUGUUUACUCAAAUGGGUUGUAUUUUCUUCAUCAUUUCCCUAACAACUCAAAAGGGCUCCAAGUCAAUUCUCUCAAAAAUCGUGUUUUGUGGCAUCAAAGUUUGAGACAUCCCUCUGAAUCUAUUUUGUCAAGUUUAUUUUCAGCACUAGAUAAAACCACUCAAGAUUGUGAGAUUUGUCAUUUUUCAAAACGGACAUGCCUGCUGUUAAUUUGGUCAUUCAUUGUCAAAAACUAUCAUACCCCUUGAGAUUGUUCAUUCAAAUGUAUGGGGGCCAUCACUCUUAGAAUCUUUUGGUGGGUGAAAAUGUUUUGUUAUGUUUGUCGAUGAUUUCUCUCGUGCUACUUGGUUAUAUCUGUUGAAAUCAGAGAGUGAGGUUGCUUUUGUCUUCGAAGAGUUUCAUCAACUUAUCGUGAAUCAUUUUUCCGCCCAGUUUAAAGUCUUGAGAUCUUACGUAUGUUGUUGAAUUUAUGACUAUUACUCUUUCACAAUACUUAAGUUCUUAUGGUAUAGUUCAGCAAACAAAUUGUGUUAGCACACCCCAACAAAAUGGGAUGGCAUAGAAAAAAUCGUUAUCUUCUAGAAAAGAUGCGGUCGCUCAUGCUGCAAAUGAAUUCCUAAGAAGUUUUGGUCUCAGGGAGUUCUUAUGGCAGUCUAUGUGAUCAAUAGACUUCCAAGUCGAGUUCAUCUCCACUUGAAAUUCUGAAAAGAAGGAAAAUUGAUCUUUCAAACCUACGUAUCUUUGGUUGUGUUUGUUUUGUUUACAUCAAGAUAAAUUUGACUCCAAGGCAGUUAAGUGUGCUUUCAUGGGUUAAUCUUUCAUGGGUUAAUCAACACAAAAAUGGUAGAAGUUAUGAUUUAAGAAGUAGAAAGAUUAUUAUAUAUAUAUAUAUAUAUAUAUCAUGAUGUCAUGUUUGAUGAAACUUGUUCCUUCUUUGACAAAUCUUGUGGAAACAAUAUUGAGUGGGAGAGCUUCUUUGAUCAUCUGCCUUUGCAAAUUGUACAACCACUGCUGAUCCUAGUCUUACAAACAUUUUUUGCCCUUCCAACAGUGAACGUACAACUUCCAAUAGCAAAGGAACAACUUCUAGGAGUGUUCAAACUGCGCCUAUUAAUCCUUAUACUCUUCCUUCUCUCGUUGGACCUCGGAAUCCCCCACCAAAAUUCAAAUAUUAUGUCAAUUGGGCUACCCAGUAUUUAGUUGAAAUGUAUAUCACCUACGCUAAUGUGUCUCGAUCCCAUGUCGCCUUUGUAAGCCAAAUUUCGAACUCUUGUGAACCUAGCUUUUUUCAAGAGUCAAAUUCCCAAUUGAUUUGGCAAAAUGCAGUGAGAGAAGAGCUGAAAGCGCUUGUUGAAAAUCAAACACGGAGUAUUGUUCAAGCCACCUAAAGGGAAGGAAGUGGUUGGUUGCAAAUGGGUUUAUAAAAUCAAGUUUAACAGUGAUGGAUUCAUUGAGAGACAGAAGGCAAGACUCAUGGUUAAGGGGUUUACUCAAACUUUUGAAGUAGAAUGGAAAUUUUUGAUCACGUAGCAAAGAUGAACACAGUAACAGUAUAUGUUACCCAUACCGGGUUAACAUAUUUGCGAGCUGCUAUAAAAAAAGGCACAAAAGGUAAAUAAAUUAACUUAUGCUCCAUCUUCUCCUUAAUGAAAUGCAGAUCAACUUCUACAUGCUUAGUUCGAUCAUGUUGCAAGUAACCACCUCAAGCAUAGUACUUCACAAACACCCUGGAAAUCCCUCUGUACUUAGCCUGCAUAGGAUAGCAUUUGUAUGGCUUUUGAAUAUUUUUUAUUUCAGUGACCAAGUUGAAAUCUCCUAUAAUCUAGUGUCAAAAAAUAUAUUUAACACAACAACUUAACUGAAAUUAACGUCAAGUCUAUAAAUUGUAAACUUUGGAUAAUACAAUACUAAUUUGGUUAAAUUCUUUUGUCAAUGCCCAAAUUGAAAUUUCGCAUAAAAACUUAGUGACAAAAAAGAUAUUUAACCCUUUUGAAAUUCUGGAUCAGCCCCUGAUAACAACAAAUAAGUGGACUAAAUCCAACUUUUAGUUGUGUUUUUGGAUAUACGUCAAAUUUAAUAUUUUCUCUUUAAUAAUUUGCAAAUUCAACACUCGAAGCUGAACCUUACUUGAACAUAGUUGUUGACAUGGGCAUCCUUGUUGGGAGAGGUGAAAAGCUCGUAAUGUUGUGCGUCCAUUCACAAUCAACAAUGUACUUAUAUUUAUAUCGUCCUUCCUGUACAGAAAACAAGCAACAUUCUAUAUUUUUCAAGUCAUCAAUUGCCAGUCUAGUUUAUUAGACACAGGUUGCUUUUCUUCACGUUACUUCCUUAUUUUCAUAGAUUUCUUAUUGAAAACUUCUUUAUUCUUGCGCUAGGUUGUUCAGAUUCGUGAGCAUUAAAAUUUCUAGAUCGAUGAAAAGCAAUUUACAGUAAAAUUUUGAUUGGUUAUUUGCUAAAUAAAUCUCAGGGUAAUUUGGAUAUUGAAGGAAGAUAUGGCAUAUGAUUUGAUAAUAGGGACCAAGAAAAUUGCUAGUGACUGAAACAUUUGUGGGGGAGUAAUCUGGAAUAUUGACUUGUAAAAUUGAAAGAGAGCCCAAUGUUGCAAGAGUUCAAUUCUACGAGUUCAAAAUUUUCCGUUCAUGGUAUAAUAAAAAAUAAAAUAAAAACCGAACAUCACGGUGAUAGGACUCUAUAUUAUUGUGCUUAUAAAUCUUAAAAAUACACACCAUGGUGAUCACAAGAAAUAGAUGCAGACUCCGUUGGUUUUUUCAACACAAAUUUCUCCCACUUUCUUAUGUUUCCCUCAAGUUUCUCGAGAUAUGGGUAAUUUAGUAAUACCAUGUUCUUCUUUUGCUUCAACCAAAUCUCCAUAAUUGUUUAGCGAAAUCAUAUUGUCUAUACAACUAUGAACUGUAAUUUCACUUUGAGUGGUAUAGACUUCGUGGAAACAUGCCUUAGAUCCACAAAGAAUAUGCAGUAGUUAUUGGAUAACUCUGGUUGAAAAAUAUGACGUGCUCCCAUUUGCCGCACUUAGAAAAACUAGUAGGCUGCCAAUAUAUAAAUGUUGGCGUGAGUCAAAGUCAAUAUUCCUAUUAGGAAUAGAAUUUGUUCCUAUUAGGAAUAGAAUUUGUUCCUCUUAGGAAUAGAAUUUGUAUUUUAUUAUAAUUAUUUAAUUUGAGUAGAAUUAGGAGAUUUUGGUAUAUAUUUUCUAUUUGUACCCACUCUAUAUGUAGUAUAUAUAUCCCUCCUUGAGAGAAGAAUAAACAUAUCAAAUUAAACCCUAAUUACUUUUGAGUUGGUAUCAGAGUAGGUUCUGAUUCGUCUCUACACAUCAAAACCCUAAUCCUAAAAAUACCUAUUUUCGCUGCACCUAGCCUAUACACCUAAGCCUGAGCCGUCUCAUCUCUCUUAUUAUUGUCGUCGCCACCUAAUCUUCUGCUACUACCGCCAUAUAUUACCAUGCCGAAUGUCACUGAACUUUUUCCUCUACCCCUAUUGUGACGGUUCAUACUAAAUUGACAACCAAUCUACCCACGUGAUUCAAAUUAAAUGGAUCCAACUAUGAGAUAUGGGCUUCGAUGAUCAGACUCCAUGCUACUAUACAAGGCAAAUUGGGUUACCUGACUGGCGACAAUCAUGCCACUGAUUCCCAAGACCCACAAUUUGGGAAGUGUAAAAUUACUGAUGUUACUGUGAAAAGUUGGAUGUUGCGAACUAUGGAACCCAUUUUAUUGAAUAUGUUUCAUACUCUACCUACUGCUAAAGAAAUUUAGGAUGCUGUUAAUCAGAUGUUUUAUGAUGGCUCUGACAUAUCUCAGCUCUAUGAACUGCGAUGCCAGACUACCCGUAUCAAGUAAGAGGGUUGUCUUGUCUUUACCUAUUUCAUUGAGCUUAAGGCAAUCUGACUUGAAUUGGACGAGAGAAGUCAUUUUUAGAUGAAGUGUGCAGAUGAUAUGAAGACUUUUCAGGUUGUUGUUAUGGCAGAUCGUGUGUAUGAUUUUUUGGUUGGGCUUGACGAUACUUAUGACAAGGUCCGCAAUGAUAUUCUACAAAGUGAUAAAGUUCCAAGUAUCAAAAAUGUAUUUUUUUUAUGGCCCGUCGAGAGGCUCAACGCCAAAUUACUAUGCUUGGAUCUGGCACCAAGACUAUGGAACCUACUGUUAUGUUUGCUUCCAAAAACACUGCUUUACUUUCUCGGCCUACAAGGUCUGGCUCUUCUUCCGUUCCGCCUUGUUGCCUGAAAAAAAGACAAACUGAAGUGUGAUUAUUAUGGUCAUAAGAGACAUAAUGUCGACACCUGCUGGGCGAUGCAUGGGGUAUCAGAUUGGGAGGAGGAAUGGAGGCAUCUAAAAAAGAAACAACUAGGCGGUAAAGCUCAUGUGGCUGCUGCCGCCACUUUUGUGGCUGACGUCACCACUGGACGCGACCACCUGACCGAUACUCCUACUCCGGCUAUGACUGUGGUCUUAAGCACUCCAACACCUCUUGCACCUAUGCCACCUCCAGGUAUCUUUGGCAGGGCUUUCCUUACUCAUGAUGCAUGCAAUACAUAUUGGAUUGUUGAUUGAGGAGCUACUGACCAUAUGACUUAUAAUUCUACUUUAUUCUUUACUAUUCUUCCGCCUCAUCUUGAUCAUGUUUUGACUGCUAAUAAUGCUGCUGCUCUUGUUACAAGGGCUGGUUUCGUACCUUGGCACUUGCUUUACCAUUGGACAAAGUGGUAUUGGUUCCAUCUUUGUCUAGUUAUUUAUUAUUAGUGCCGCAAGUUACUGAGUAGUUACACUAUAUUGUACUGGUGUAUCCGUCUUUUUCCUUAAAUACAGGUUAUCCAAACUCGGGAGAUCUUUGGCCGUGGUACUAAAAAAAGGGGGCUUUAUUAUUUGGAUGAUGUGGAAACUAGUUGGGUUCCUCGUGCUAGUAAUGUCAAAACUUCCAAGCAUCACUGAAUUUGGUUGCUUCAUUGCCGAUUUGGUCAUGCCUCGUUUGGAUAUUUACGACAUUUGUUUCCUGCAUAAUUUAGUGGUGUCAACAAGUCUAUUUUCCAAUGUCACAAUUGUAUUUUAGCUAAGACUCAUUGGGUAUCCUACCCUCCGACUUGUAAUAAACGGUUUAUGCCAUUUGAUUUAGUUCAUUCUGAUGAUUGUGGACCUACCCAUAUUUCUACUGUCUUGGGAGUUUGUUGGUUUUUAUUAUUUGUGAAUGAUUGCACUCGUAUGAUGUGGUUAUAUGGGAUGAAAAAUAAAGUGAUGUGGUCAACAUCUUUUAGCAUAUCUAUCAGAUGAUUUAGACUCAAUUUAUGCUAUAUGUAAAGGUUUUUUGAUGUGAUAAUGGUGGAUAAUUUAUUAAUUCAGCGUUAUCCCAGUUUUUUCACACUAAGGGUGUACUCUAUGAGACUACUUGCCCUUAAACACCACAACAUAAUAGGUCGCUGAAAGUAAAAAUGGGCAGGUCUUUGCCUCUGCCCUUGUUAUGCUGCUUGGUGCGUCAGUUCCAAAGCGGUUUUGGAUGGAUAUUGUUACCUAUAUUGUCUAUCUCUUCGUCUUCUGCCUUCACGAGUUCAAGAUUUCUGAACUCCUAUGCAGGUACUAACCCAUCACGUCUGUCAAACCUGCUGAACCAACCGAACUUGCGAAACCGGUUGAACUUGCUACACCAAUCGAACCUGCUACACCAGCUGAACAUGCUUAUUUAAUUGAUGUCAAUGCUGUCACUAAAUCGAUUGCCCCUGCUACUUCUCUAAUAGUACCCGAUCAAGCUCCACUGGGUAUUCCUAAGGUAAGUACUUCUAUUCAAGGAUUAAAAUAUCGGCCGUGUAGAUAAUAUCGGGCCUCCAAUUUAGGGAUAUUUCGGGGGAUAUAUCGUUAUCAUUUUAGGUAUCGGGAAAAAAUCAACAAAAAUGACAGACAUAGGCAUUGAAACACAUAAUUUUGGUGUAAAACUUUUAUAGGUGUUAUAUACAUUAUCAAUGAAUGUAUUUAACAAAUAAGGCUCAAAAUUUACUAAUAGUAAGAUAUACAUAUGAUGAAAUAUAAGUGGUAUGUAAUGCGCGUUAAUGAAAAGUUGAAAAUAAAUUGUUAAUUAGAAUGAAUAAACCAUGCAUAAAUCUAUAGUUUGUUUAAACAUUGGAUUACAAUUUAGAUAAGUGUCCAUCUACAAAAAUUAAGAGCUCCUAUGAGGUUCAAAUAAUGAGGAACAACCAUCUAGAUUCAUACAAUAGUCAUACCAAGUCAUGUAACCCGAGCAGUUUGGAAGCCAUGUUUGAACAUGGUGCACAUAAGUCUCUCUUGAGCUCCCUACUGUCCUCUCAUAUAUGGGAUAGUUAGGAUUAACCAACUAGUAGGUCCAUAAUAUGUUUUAUCAUCUUGAACUCCAUAACUAGUUCCAUUAUAAUCAGACAUGACAUAACCAUAGCCAUCAUAAGAUUCAUUUGAGUUAGUACUAGGUCUAGUUUCUAUGCUCAUAGAUCCAAAACUGAUCGCCAUGUCCUCUUUAGAUGGAUUGGAGGUAUGUGGGCAGUGGACUGUGCAUAGAUUCUUCAUAUUAAUAAAUUAUAGGGUUAUGGGCAAUGAUUAGCUAUUUUUGGGUUUCAAUUUGCUUCAAUUGCCUUCAAAAUUUCUGAAUUUUUAUGGGUAUCGGGGAUAUCGGCAAAAUAUCUGGGAUUUCGCACUUAUCGGGGAUAUAUCGUCAAUACAAGGGAAGACAUGGCCUUACCCAACAGUAUCGUGUCGAUAGUUGAAAAUACCGAUAUAUCGGCAAAUAUAUCGGUAUAUCGGCUGAUAUUUCAAUCCUUGCUUCUAUUCAUAGUGCUGAUAAUUCUUAUGUUCGACCGCCUAGACGGAACCGUCAGGUUCCACCUAAUUGUUACUCACUAGAAGGCAAAGAAAGAUAUGAUAUUGCCCAUUAUGUAUCUGAUCACAUGUUAUCUCUUGAAUGGAAAACGUUUGUGACCAGAAGUACUAAAAUUCCAACCCAUGUUGAGGAGGCAUUUAAUGAUCCAAAGUGUGGCUGAAGCCAUGAAUAUUUAAAUGGAGGCACUGCAGAAAAAUAAUGCAUCAGAUUUUUUUGAUCCACCAAAAGGAACGAAGCAUGUAGGAUGCAAAUGAGUGUUUAGAGUUAAAUAUAAUGUAGAUGGAAAAAUGGAGAGGUACAAGGCAAGAUUUGUAGCUUAAGGGUUCACUCAAACAUAUGGAGUUGAUUAUCAUGAUACUUUUCCACAUAUGGCUAAUAUGAAUACUGUCAGAGUUUUGUUGUCCUUAGCAGUAAACCUGGAUUUGACCCUAAGACAAUUUGUUGUAAAAGAAAAUUCUUGCAUGGUGAAAUAGAAGAAGAAGAAGUGUACAUGAGACUUCCACCAGGGUAUACCAUUACUAGUGACACCGAGAACGUAUGUAGAUUAAACAAAUGCGUUGUAAGGGUUAAAGUAGUCUUCUCGUGCAUGGUUUGGCAAAUUUACUGUAGCUAUGAAAAAGUUUGGUACCAACAAGCCAAUUCUGAUCAUACUAUCUUUAUUAAACAUAGAGCUGGUAAGGUGACUGUUGAUUAUUUAUGUUGAUGAUAUGAUUGUUACUGGUGAUGAUAUUGUAGGAAUCGAGGAGCUGCAUUAGCGUUGAAAUUUGAAAUGAAAGAUUUGGGUAGUUUGAAAUAUUUUCAAGAAUCUAAUCCCAAUCCAAAUUAUAUAGAAUAAAAUGUUAAAUUGCAAAAUAAUGCAAUAAAAUGAUUAUAUAUAAAAAAUUUAAAAAUUGCAAAAUAAUGCAACAUAAUCAUCCCCUCAAUCUGCUCUCCACAACCACCCCCAAUGUGGCCACCUCCAUUGUAAUGACCCAAACCUAAAAUUCAUAUUUAAUUAGUAAUUGAUUAUGCGGAAAGACAAUUUUGCCCUUUGACUAAAUUAUGAAUCCAAAGUUGACUUUUUGACCAAAAAGGACUUUGACAAUUCCACAUAUACCGUUGCGUGGAGCACGACGACACGAGUUCAUAGACAUGAAGUGAGCUCGAAUCGGAGUUUUAACGAAGAAAAUACGAUUAAAAUAUCACGAGGGGCAAAAUGGUAAAUUAGAAAAUCAGAAUUUUUAUAAAACCUCAUCUCUCUCUCUCUCUCUCUCUCUCUCUCUCCGCGCUCUCCUCCCUCUCUGUUUUCGUUCUCUCCCUCCCUUCGCCCUCUAAGUGCAGCGCCGCCACUACCAGCCACCACAAGCCCCAACACCAGUACCAACCUGACCGGCCCGACCCCGCCGUCACGUCGCAGCUCACGCCCGCCGCGAGCCGCUCACCAGUCGCCGGAAACGGCAGGAAUUCUGCCGGUUUUGUCAAAACUUCCAACCGUUCGUUCUCCUUCAAUUCUUCUCCAAAUUUGUUGAGUAAGGUAUGGAUUUCUACCUAUUUUCCGUGCUCUAGCUGAUGGUUGGGUAGGUUUGCAUUGAUUUUCACCGUAGCUAGCUCAGUUAGCAAAUUGAAAUUCGGCCAACUUUCGGCCGCUGUGUUCGGCCACUUUCGGUCAGUUUUUGGGGUUAGUCCAAGAACAAAAGUGGUUCCAAAUAUGGUGUUAUACCUAGGAUAGGAGUUUGGAGCCUUGGUUUUACGAUUUUCCGGCGAUGCGUUAUCGCUUUGGACACCCAUCGCUGCCGGCGCGUGCGGCGGCGCGUGGGCGAGGGUGGUGCUGUGACACUGUGUUCUGAUGCGAUCCUUAGGUCAUCACGAGCGCGUAGGAAUUCGCGGAUCUCAAUUUGGAUACCGUUUGAGCCUCGAACGGAUUUUCCAUAUUGUGCGAUUAUCGGGUUCAAUACUGUUGAGCCGUCGGAUCGUAAUCAAUUUUAGAUAUGUUAUUUGAGAUAAUUUUAGAAACGUGUAUGAUUCGACGGAUGGUGAAUCGGAGUCCCGGAUACUCCGAAAACGCGAACCCUAGGGCGAGGGUUUAGAAAUUAUGCGAUUACAGGAUUGUGAUCAAUCCGACCGUCCGAUCGACACCAAUACCCUCGGGACAUGUGUCCUAAAUAUAUUGGACCUUCUAGCGGCAUCCGGAUCAUAUUGUAAGGUCAUGGACCCGUGGGGUUCUGGAUUGACUUUUUGGACCUUAGCGCUAUUUGAGUCCCAAGAUACCGCUAAACUACCCCACGUGGAAGGAAAGCUUUUAUGGGCAUAGGGAUCACUUUAAAUUUCUGCAUGUACUUUUAGGAGCCGGGGGUAGGGUUUUUAAUUUAAUACUAUAUUGUAUUAAUAGAAUAUUAUGGUCAUUGAAUCAGGCACCCGGGCACCAGUUGACCCGCAAGAGGGACCUUCAAGAGGUCCAACGAGCUCAGACUAUCAGUGAGUGGGCUCUUUAUUUUAAUAAAUGAAUUUAAGCAGUUCAGUUUCAGUUAUAAGCUGUUUUAUGCUGUUAAAUAUUUUAUGUUGCAUGCUGCCGAGUGAAAUUUCCUUUAAAGAAUACAGGAAAAGAUAUUCUCGUUAAUUAUCAGAUAAAUGACAGCAGAAUUUUAAAGGUUACAGAAAGUUAAUUAUUCAACAGAUUUUCCUCAGAAACUUUAUAUUUUCUUAAACCACCUGGUACCCAGAUAUUAAAUGUUGCCUUCGGAUUAUAUUUGUUGCCUUCGAUUUAGUCAGCAUGCUUGACAGUUGCCCCACGAGUUCCUUGGUACUCGAACUCGUGUGGAGCGAGUAAUGCGGAUAAAGGUAGACUACGAUUCCCUGAAUCCUGCGAGUUGCGGCUCAGACUGACCUCGUGUCACUGAGACCUGCGAGUAUGUGUCACCCAUGGUGAUGCAAGGAAUUGACGGAUAUAAGGAAUUGACGGAAAUAAGGGUACACCUAGGUGAUAGUUUUCAACUGUUUUCAAAUGUAUAGUUAUAUACAUGCAUUGAUUUCAGAAAUAAAGAAAAUAAGCUAGUUUGUAUAACUGUUUUUACAGUGGGGUUAGUAUGUUCAUAUGGUAUUUUCUAAACUUUGGUUUUUGGGUCCACUCAUCCUUUUUGUUGUUUUGCGCCCCCAGGCAGUAGACGUGCACAGGAAUCCACCACCGGGCCACUUCCCAUCUUCCGCGCCUUUCUUCUGAUGUAGGAUUUUGUUUUGUAAACAGAUGCACUCUUAUGUACAUUUAGUAGUCGCUCUGAUGUUUUGCCCUAGACUGAGAUUUGAACUGUUGGAAUGUAUAUAUACAUAUGCUGGCAGUUGGUUGUAUAUAUGUAUACUGUUUGGCAUGUGAAAAUAUUUUGGUAUUGAGCUAGUUACAAGGGAAACUCUGUCGGUUUUCCGGUAGAAGUCAACUUUGUUAUUUUAUCGUGUUUUGUAUAGAAGGGCAAAUAGGUCAUUUGUGCCUGACAUUCGCCAGGUGUCGGACACGCACAGGGUCUGGUUCGGAUUCCAAAGCGGAAUUUGGAUCGGGUCCUGUCAUCCAUCCCCAUCCGACCGCACCUUGUAAAGCAAAAAAUAUCAUGAUUUCAUGUAAUUAAUCUUGAAACAGACUUUAGAUGUUGAAGCAUCAAAUUUAUUAUUUUGGUAUACAUCUCUUUCAAUGCAGACCAAAAAAAGCUAUGAAAUUGCAUAUGGCCUUGAAGGAGAAAUGGUGACUAGGGUUGUUGAGGGGGGUGGCCUAGAGAAUAAGGUCUCAUGAAAAUGGUGACUGGGUUGCUGAGGCAGAGAAUGGUAAAACAUUCAAAAUACCAAAAAAUGCUCUUGGUUAAUGCAAACAUUAAGAAUUGAAAUUAUUAAUUAAAUGAGGAUAAUAUAUGGUAAAUUCACACUUUUUUAUGUUAAAAAAUUAAAAUUAAAAGAAAAAUAAGAUAAUGAAUUCUAUUUUUAUGGAACACAACUACCCAUUCUCUUUUUCAAUUCUAAAAUAAAAUAAAAUAGUUUUUAAAUAAAACCUCUUGCAGUCGCGGAAGCACGUGUGAAAAGACUAGUCCACUUUAAAACAUAACUUAAUUUUUUUUAACAGCUCUACUUAUCUUCUGAAAUUAAAUUUAAAACUUGUAAAACUUAAUAAAUAAAUAAAUAAAUAAAUAAAAGAAGAAGAAGAUUUCCCAACAACCUACCCUACCCUCCCCGUAAAACCCCUCUUUUCCUCUUCACCACUGCCACCGAUACCACUCAUGAAGACCAUCACCAUCCAAACCCUCAUCUUCCUUAAUGCCCCUUUCUCUGAAAUUGAUCAUGACACCCACCAAAAUGUUAAACACACCACCACCUUCAACUUCUGUCGCCUUAUACUAUUUCCAAACGCAUGUCCUCAAUGAGGAAAUGAAUGAUACCCUUCAAAGCCCAAUCUCACUCCAAGAAGUCAAGAAUGCUGUUUAUGAUAUGGGAGCUCUCAAAGCCCCAGGACUAGACGGUUUCAGGGGGUGUUUUAUCAAAAAUUUUGGCAACAAAUCUACUUAGAGGUCCAAGGUAUAGCUGUGGAUUUUCUCAAUGGUUCUUGUAAUCCCAAGGCUCUAAACCACACAAAUUUGGUUCUUAUUCCCAAAAUUCAGGAACCUCUAUCGAUCUCCGAGUACCGACCCAUCAGUUUAUGCAACUUCUCUUACAAAAUUCUCUCAAAAGUGUUGGCUAAUAGAAUUAAGCCCCUACUUCCAAUGAUCAUAUCUCAAGCCCAAAGUGCCUUCGUUGCCGAACGACAAAUUCAUGAUAAUAUCUUAAUAGCCUAUGAAGUCUUCCACUUCCUCAAGCUUAGAAAGGCCAAAAAAUCUUUUGAAAUGGGAAUAAAACUUGACAUGAACAAAGCCUACGACAGGGUGGAAUGGAAUUUCUUGAGGGAGGUUAUGCUGAAAAUGGGUUUCCGUAGUCGCUGGGUUCAUCUAAUCAUGAGAUUUAUCACUACCGUAACCUUCUCGGUGGUACUUAAUGGGCAACUUGGAAAGAAGUUUAUGCUAUCAAGAGGAAUCCGUCAAGGAGACCCCUUCUCCCCCUACCGCUUUUUAUAAGUGAGGCCCUCUCUUGCCUAAAAAAUCAAUUAUUACUAAUCAUUUGCAGGGCAUUAAAAUCAGCAACCCGGGGCUGGUCCUAUCUCACCUCCUCUUUGCCAAUGACUCCUUGUUUUUCCUCAAGACUUCUCAACUCAAUUGCAAGAACUUGAUGCGGUUGUUGCAUGCGUACUGCACUGCUUCUGGACAGUCCAUCAACUUCAAAUCCAACAUUUAUUUUGGUCAAAAUGUGCCGGCUGUUCUCAAACAUAACAUCUGCAAUACCUUUGGGAUGGAUGCAGUUACAAAUCCCGGCAAGUACCUCAGCCUUCCUACCAUAUGGGGAAGGGCCAAAACGGAAGCUCUUGCUUACAUAAAGGAGAGAAUCAAGAAGAAGAUUGGGGGCUGGAAGCAUAAUAUGUUAUCACAAGCGGACCGAGAGGUCUUAAUAAGGGCAGUGGCCUAAGCGAUUCCGACAUAUGCAAUGAAUGUCUUCAAAUUCCCUACUGCAACAUGCAAGGAAAUUGACUUUUUUUAGCUCGUUUCUGGUGGGGCCAUAGUGAGAAGGAUGCCAAGACUCAUUGGGUCAGCUAGAAGUUUUUGGGUUUGUCUAAAUUAGAGGGUGGAAUGGGUUUAGAAGUAUCCAGGAUUUUAAUGUUGCCCUUUUAGCAAAACAAAGCUGGAGAAUCCUACACAAACCUGAUGCUUUGUGGGUCCAAGUUUUGAGAGGAAGAUACUUCCCUGAUGGUAAUUUCUUGGAGGCCAGGAAAAGGGGGAGAUCCUCAUGGGCAUGGGCUAGCAUCUUGGAGGGGCGUGAUGCAAUCAAGCAGGGACUCCAAUGGCAAAUAACAAGUGGCUCGCAAACUAAACUCUGGAACGACCGUUGGGUUCCUAGUCUUCUAGGACUCUGGAGAGAGACAAUAGUAGGGGCCACUUGGAUGACGCCUUAGAGCAUCUUUAACCGAUGUGUCAAAAGUGCUACAUAGACAUUCAACGGCAAGAAAUAAUAUCUCACAUCACUCUAACUGAUGUGUCAAAACUGAUGUGUAAUGAAGGCUGGAGGUUGAGAUGUUAUUUUUGACAUCUCAAAAGAAAGAUGUCAAAUGAAUAUUUUAUUAUUUUUUCUUUUCUUUUCUUUUUAAUUAAAAAUAAAUCAACACUAAAAUGUAAUAAAAUAAUAAUUUAAUUUGACAUAUUGGGUGGAGUGUAAAGCUGUGUAAGAUGUCAAAUUGCCACAUUAGCAAUCAAAUUUAAACUUGAUAUUUGGUAUUUAACAUCUCCCUUGAAGAUGCUCUUAGUUGGAUAUAUUAUUGAUCAUGAAACAGGUACUUGGAAUUUGGAUUCAAUCCGCCACAUGAUUUCUGAUGAUGGGGGAAUUUCUAUCAUGAGAACACCCAUUGGUCAAGGGGAGGACAUAGACUACUUAAUUUGGCCAUAUGAGAAAAGUGGCAUGUAUACCAUUAAAUCUGGCUAUCAUUAAGUGCAUCACAAAAACCAAGCAUUUAACCAUCAACAUCCUUCAACCUCCAUUGUAAUUACGAAGGAUAUCUGGAAAGCCUUACGGAAGACUCAAGCCCCCCCCAAAACAUCCGUAAUUUCAUGUGGAGGAUCUUUAGAAAUAGCCUCGCAACUAAUGACAACUUGUGCAAAAGAAGAAUAAGACAAUCCCCUAUUUGCCCCAUCUAUAAGUCGCACGAGGAGACACUUAAGCAUAUUUUGCUUCUAUGUCCUUGGGUUAAAAGUGUAUGGUUUGGUGGCUGCCUAACUUACAGAGUCAACCUUCAGGAAGUCACCAAUAUUGGCCAAUGGUUCUCCAAUAUUCUGAAGAUCUAUGCAAAAAGCAAGGAUGAGUUAAGGUAGGUCACAACAUAGAUUGCUUUCACCUGGUGGAACAUAUGGAAAACCCGGUGUAAUGCUGUAUUUGAGCACCAAAGACCAUCCAUAGAAGCAACAAUUUAUGCUACCUCAAGUGGUGUAACUAGUUUCCUUGCUACCCAAACAACCCAUACCCACAACAACAUUCUGAGUUUGAACAACCAUCAAACUACUCCAUCUGUCUGGUGACCCCCAUAUGGAAAUACCAUCAAAAUCAACGUGGAUGCUGCAUGGAACCCGAGAAAUGGCAAGGCCGGACUUGAAAUUAUAAUUAGAGACUCCCAAUGCAAGUUCAUCGCCACAAAGAUAGUUCAAAUCACCACAAGUUUUGUUUUGGAAGCCGAGGCUUAUGCACUUCUUUGGGCAUGUUUGCUCAGGAGAGGGGGAAAAGACAUGUAAUUCUUGAAUCGGAUUCAAGGUCUAUGACUCAAUGCUUAAAUGGUAAUAUUGCCAGAAGGGCUUGGACAUUGUAUCCCAUCCUGAGCAAGUUCAAGCACAACUACAAAAAAGCAAAAAGACGACGGUAAAUCACCGUCGUGUAUUGGGUUUUUCAAUGGUCGUGGAAUCCACCGUCAUCUUUUCCCUCAUAAACCACGACACUAAAUAACCGUCGUUGUUAAAAUAUACAACGUCAUCAACAAAUACAAAACGACGUCUUUGUACUGCAAAAAGAUCUAAAAAAAGCAAUCGAGGAUGAUAAUAGACGACCAACUCUCUAAAAAAACCGUCGUUAAAAAGGAAAAAUAUGACACAUUUUAACAGAACAAGGCCGCAAGAUAGACAUACAACGACGAAAAUACAAAUACGACGACGUUAAAUAUAAUUUUCACGACAAUAAAAAAUAUGACGUCUUUAAAUACAUUAGAAGACGACGUUAUUGAUACCUACUACGUCGCAUAUAUAAAAACAACCGUCGUAAAAUUAAUUUUCCACUUCGAUUUUUCGAUAAAAGAUGACGUGGAAAUAGUUGUCAGUGUCAUUAUUUACGACGUAUAUGUUAAUAGAGUAGACGUUGAAAAACUAAACAACGUCGGUUACAAAUAUAUGAGAGUCGUAUUACAAAAUUUAUAUGUCCUAUUUUCAGAAACAAACAACGACGAUAAAUAUUAGACGUUGUUAAAUAAAACAACGUCGGAAACAUAAAACAGACGUGGUUUAGUCUGCUAAGUUCUAGAAAUAGUCGAGGAUGANNNNNNNNNNNNNNNNNNNNNNNNNNNNNNNNNNNNNNNNNNNNNNNNNNNNNNNNNNNNNNNNNNNNNNNNNNNNNNNNNNNNNNNNNNNNNNNNNNNNAAAUACUUCCCGACCUCAAAAAUUUAUGAAACUUUUUCCCAUCAUAGAUUGCAUUUUUGUUAGUGUCUCUGUAUUUAUAUGUAUUCAUUACUCACGACGCACUUAAUAAUAUAGACGACGUUGAACUUCUAAACAACGUCGGUUCCAAAUAAAUGAGAGCCGUAUUACAGAACAUAUAGACGGCGUAGAUUAUGAUGAGAGCCGUAUUAUAAAUAACGUCGUUUAAUUGUUAUUAGACGGCGGUUAUAAUGAAUUUCUGUCGGAAUUCAUUUCGUUCCUCUUCGUUUAUAAAAGAACUUGCGACGUGGAAAAUGUAUGAUGACGUCGUAUUUUUUAACGUUCAGAUUAUAUAUCUCGUUUUUUAGACGUCGUUAUUAUGGGAUUGGAGUCGUGUUAUUUUGAAUUACAUGGCGGUUCUUAAUCCUUCCCCGACGUGAUAUCCUGGAUAAUUGCUUCACAAUAGCGUCGUGGUUCUUCAUUGUUACGUUGCUUUAAGACGUCGGUAAAUAUGCUGAAUAAAUGGUUCACCAUAACGUCGUGUUUUAUUUGAACAGACGUUGUUUUUUAUGCAGAAUAUAAUGAUGUAAUCUGGAUCCAGUAUUUUUUGCACUGAUUGUUUUGUGGCCAAAACCUGUAUAGUGAAAGUGAAGAAAUUACAUUACAAUAUAUUAUAAAAUGAAUGUCAUACACUGCCAAUUACAUAAGCAUCAUUCAAUCCAUAUAUCUUCACACCCACCUCGAAUAUUUUGAGCACCUAACUCACCCACCAGUUCAUCAAAUGUGUCAACAUUUGACAUCCCUCUAGUAAAUGGCUCACACUCAAUUAUCACAUCACCUAAGACUUCAUCACCAAUAACAUCAUUAUAUUCUCUAUUAGGCAUUGAUAACACUACCGACCAGCCACGAUGCAUCGGGUCGUCAACAAAAAAUAUUUGUUUGACUUGAGAAGCCAAAACAAAUUGGUCAUUCCUAUGUCCAAUUUUACUCAAAUCUACAAGGGUAAAUCCAAGUUCGUCGACUACAAGACCAGAACUAUCUAUCCAAUCACACCUAAAGACUGGGAUUGUAAACUUUUGGUAGUCAAGGUCCCAAAUUUCUUGAAUGACACCAUAGAAACCCAUAUUUGAGAGAAUUGGGUUUUUAUCCUUGGCACUAGCAACUUGCAUGGUAUGUGCAAGUAAAUAAACUCCACUAUUUUGAGUUGUCCGCACAUCAUCUUGUGCCUUGAUAUUGAAUUUAAUACCUUUAAUAAGAUAGCUCCUAUAUAAUGGCACUGCCAUGUUUGGACCAGCUGCUAGCCACCUUAAAUUUUCUGAUACGCCAUUAUUGUCUUCCUCAACUUCACUUUGAACCUGCAAAUUAAUCAUAUCUUAAUUCAUCCUAACAUAUAAAUAAGAAGAAAAUUAAAAGAGAAAUACGUUAUUCAACAACAUAUACCUUGAAGCGUAGCCAUUGAAUGAAAGUGCUAUUGUGCUUAUUCUGCAGCCACUUUGUUCUCUUUCUAAAUUUUGGAUAAGCAGUCUUGAUGUGGAUCAUAUGUUGCCUACAUGACACGAAAAAUUCAAGCAUUACAGUCCCAAAUAUAUAAGAUAAACAUAAGAAAUAAUUUAAAAUGGAAACUUAAAGAAUAAAACUCAUACGUACUCGAUAUAAGGUAGGACUUCCUCUGUAUUCUCCAAGACAUAUAGAUGUGCUUGAUUCAACAGGUCCUGAUCAACUACGCUCACUGUGCAACCUGAUAAUGGCUUUGAAACUCCCAUCUUUUGGCUUGAAGGCACUCCAACUGUACUAACAUCAGAUAAAUGCUGAGUACAAAACUCUACCGAUUCUUCAGCUAUAUACCGCUCAGCAAUGCAACCUUCGGGACGAGUACGAUUCUGAACAUACCCCUUCAGCACUUUCAUAUAUCUUUCAAACGGAUACAUCCACCUAAAAUAUACUGGCCCACAUAGACGAACUUCUCUGACAAGAUGUACUACUAGAUGAACCAUGAUAUCAAAGAAUGAAGGGGGAAAGUACUUCUCAAGCAAACACAGAGUAACUACUACAUCUUCUUCCAACUUAUCUAGCUUGGAAACAUCAACAGUCUUUGCACAUAUAGCAUUGAAGAAGAAGCACAAACGAGUUAUUGCAUACCUUGCAGGCUUCUCCAAAACAGAACGAAUUGCCACAGGGAGCAAUUGUUGCAUUAAGGUAUGACAAUCAUGUGAUUUAAGGCCAAGAAGUCUUGAAUCUUGUAAAGAUACAAGAUUUUUAAUAUUUGAAGAAUAACCUUCAGGGACCUUCAUACCAUAGAAAGAAUUGCAAACCUCUCUCUUCUCUGCUCUUGACAAAUUCCAAGGCCCAGGAGGCAAACGAGUACGUCUUUCUCCAUACUCGGGUUGCAAAUCAGUUUUGACCCCCAUGUUCAAUAAAUCUAAUCGAGCAGCAAUCCCAUCUUUAUUUUUUCCAGGGAUCUCCAGCAAUGUACCAAUGAUACUAUCGCAAACAUUCUUCUCAAUGUGCAUAACAUCUAGGGCAUGCCUCACAGGAAGGUAUUUCCAAUACUCGAGAUCAAAGAAUAUUGAUUUCUUCUUCCAACAAACUCUGUCACCAUUUUCAACCAUAUGCAGCACUUCUUCUCCGGUUAAUGGCUCGGGAGGUAUGCCAUAUUCAGGUUUCCCAUUAAAAGCUGCACGUUGCCUCUUAUAUGGAUGAUUGAUUGGUAACCAUUUUCUAUGCCCAAUGUAACAAAUUUUGUGGCCAUUUUUCAACCUGUGACUAGGUGUAUCAUCGCCGCAUAUUGGACAAGCUUUAUAUCCUUUAACAACACAACCAGAUAAGUUUCCAUAGGCGGGGAAAUCAUUAAUUGUCCACAUUAAUGCAGCUCUGAGUGUAAAGUAUUCUCCAUUAUGUGCAUCAUACACUCCUCUAAUCCCAACCCACAAGGAUUUUAAAUCAUCAAUCAAAGGCUCCAAGUAGACGUCUAUAUCAUUUCCGGGUUGUUUAGGACCGGAAAUCAAUAAGGUUAACAUCAUGAACUUUCGUUUCAUGCACAGCCAUGGAGGGAGAUUAUAUGUAACUAAGAUAACCGACCAACAACUAUAUCUGCUACUUAGAGAACUGUGGGGAUUGAAUCCAUCAGAUGAAAGAGCCAAUCUCAAGUUUCUCGGCUCAUUACCAAACUCAGGCCCUUUAUCAUCAAGAAGUUUCCAAGACGGGGAAUCCGCCGGAUGAGACAUCUGACCGUCAAUUGAUUUUCUAGCAGCAUGCCACCAAGUCAAACUCUUAGCUGUCUCAUGUGAUUGAAACAUCCUUUUAAACCUUGGAAUUGGGGGAAAAUACCACACCACCUUCGCUGGCACACCCUCUUUCAAGAUUGAAUCUUUGCCUUCCUUCCACCUUGAGAUACCACAAGUAGGACAAUUAGUUGAAUCCUCAUACUCCUUCCUAUACAAGAUGCAAUCAUUGGGGCAUGCGUGCAUUUUCUCAUAACUCAGCCCCAAUGCACACAAAGUCUUUUUAGCCUCAUACAUGGAGGUUGGUAUUGUAUUUCCUUCUGGAAGCAAAUCGCCUUGAAGUAUCAAUAAUUCUGUAAAACAGACAUCACUCAUCCCAUGUUUUGCCUUCAAAUUAUACAACUUCACUAAUGCCGAUAACUUCGUGUACUUUCUACAACCAGGGUACACUGGUUGAUCUCCAUCCCCAAUCACAUUGGCAAACUCAUACGGAUCCGAACCAAAAUCACCAAAAUCAUUAUCAUCCAUAUCAAUUUCUUCAGACACAAAACUGUACCUACUAUGGCCAUCAUCUUCUUCAACAUUUCUACUAGCAUUAGUAGUUGCUUCCCAAGGUUCUCCGUGAAAUGUCCAAUUCUUAUAGCUUUGGUCAAUUCCAUUAAAGUAUAAGUGAUCCCUUAUAAUUCCAACCCCAAACAACUUCAAAUUAACACAUUUAACACAUGGACAACGGAUAUGUGUUGUAUUUAGAAGAUUUUCUACAGCAAAGUUCAAAAAUGCUUCCACCCCAAAUUCAUAUGCCUUCGAUCUUCUAUCCGAGUGCAUCCAUGACUUAUCCAUCUCCGACACUAUAACCUAUUAUCUAUAAUAAAGUGAAAAUACAGGCAAUGACCAUCACUAUAGCAGAUUAUACAAUGAUCUAAUCGCAAGUAAUACACAACAGAGACGACGGGUUUUAAACAAAAACAGACGUAUUUGGCAUAUAUAGACGACGGAUUUUCAACAGACGUCGUCUAAUAUAAGUAAUACAAACGACGGUUUAUGAAAACACCGUCGUGUAUAAUUAAUACAACGACGGUUUUUUCAUAAACCGUCGUGUAAUCGUCGUCGUAUGCCUAAAAAGGCGUCGUGUCUCAGUUUAUUUUCAAGAACACAAAACCCAUUAAGAACACAACAUAUAUAUGAAACCAAGCAAGAAACCAACAUAUACAUGAAACCAAGCAUGAAAACAAUAAAUCCAUUCCCAAUUCAACAUAACAUAGGGUGAUUAAAAGAUACGACAAAAUUAAAUCCAUUCCCAAUUCAACAUAACAGAUAAUGUAAUCCAUGAACCCAUUAAACAGAAAAUCCAUGAACCCAUAUCUAUAAGCACAUUAUUAACAGAUCGCAAAGCAUACACAUAAAACCCUUUAACAAAACAACCUAAUAUCAUUCAAUGAAUUUACAAGGGGAAGAUAGGGUUUGUACUUACAGGUUGGACGAGCUCACAGAUUCGACGGAGCUUGGAGAGUGCAACUUUUAAUUAGAGCAGAAGUGAGAGAGCGAAAUGUUAUGUCGCGCGAAAUCUGAAAAUUUUAGGUUUCAGGGUUCGAAGUAUAAGAAUAAGAGCCAAAUCUAAAAAAAUUUAGGUCGCGCGAAAAUUUUUAGAGCUCGCACGUUUUAAAACGUCGAAAGAAAAACCAAGGCGAAAGUUCUACAAGUACCGACGUAAAUUUAAUAUUCCACGACGGAAACUUCAUUUUUCGGAUUAAGAAUGUAAGGCCGUUCAUUUUGAAGCUUCAUUUUUCGGAUUAAUUUUAAAUUUAUUUUGAAUUUUUUAUAUAACGACGACUGAAAAACCACGUCGGUGUUAAGAAAUUAAAGACGUUGUAAAUUAUAUAAACCGACUUACAUAUUAAAAUGACGUCGUUUAAAGCGUAAACCAUGUCGUAUGUUUUACUGUACGACGUAAAAUAUGUAUUCCACGACGCAACCACCGUCGUUAAAAAUUAAUACCCUAAACCCAUAAAACUAAAUUAUACAAUUUAAAAAAUUAAGUUUAUAAAAGGUUUUAUGGUUUUAAAGCCUAACAUAUACCCUAGACUACCCAAAAAUUAUACUUUAAAAAUAAACCCCAAUAAAUAACAACCCUAAUCUCUAAACCCUAGACUCUAAACCCUAAACCAUAAAACUAGAAGUGAUUUUAUGACUCAUCAAAAUAAUUUUGUUUUGGAUGGUCAUUUUAAAUUUUUGUUAUUCAAAAUGAAUUUUUUCAAGGUUUAUGUGGAAGAAAAUAUAUCAAUGACUUCAUAGGAGUUGACUUUUCAAUUUUCUGAUUUAUUUUAAAUUUAUUUUGAAUAUUUUGAUAUAAAAAUAAUAAAAUAUUCUUACCACAACAACAAACCACGUCGGUGUUAAUAAAUUGUAGACGUUGUAAAUUGUAAUAGACUACUAAGUCGUUAAAAUGACGUCGUUAAAAUGAGAAACCAUGGCGGCUAUUUAACUAUAUGACGUAAAAUAUAUAUUCCACGACUUAACCGCUGUCGUUACAUAAACGUCGUCGAUGAUACCCUGAACCCUUAAGAAAUUGAAGAUGUUGUAAACCAUAAACGACUCAAUUGUUCAAAGAACGUCGUCUAACUAUAUUUUUACGUCGUAUUUGUUUAAAACACGAAACAACAAAAUACGACGGUUUUUGACUUUAUUAGGUCGUUGGAAAAGUAUUACACGUCGGUUAAGCAAUUUGUAUGUUUGUUUUUUUUUUAAUUUAAGAAAACCUCAACAAAUUUUUACAUUACAUAUUAUAGUGAAAAUUUGUACAUUAUACAUAAAUAUCAAGUGUUCAAUAAUUGCCCUGUUUAAUAAUUUGGAAAACAAACUCUGCCCAUUCAUUCCGUACUUCAUCAAUGGCUUCUUGGGGGUAUGAAGCUUCCUGGUUUCCCUUGGCAUACUGCAUAAACAAUGACUAUUAGGGUUUAUAAAUAAAAAGAAAUUCAAUCACAGACGACGAUAUUUUUCAUAACCGACGUAGUAUAUCCAUUCAACGAAGUUAAUUUUACAUGACCGUCGUUGAUAAUACAAAAAACGACGUGAAAUGUAUGAAGGUAAUUUCUUCUUACCUUAUACUCAAACCCCAAGGAAGGAUCCAUGAUGAUGUCCCUCAUGAAGCGCAUCACAUAAUACCCGCAUUCGACAUUGCUGGGUUGCUUUGGUGUGCCUCAGAGAGUUUUCCAAAUUACAUUUUUACGUCCUGCUCGGGCUAUGUGGGUAUUAUAUAUUUUUAAAGCACUGUUCACGAUGUUUUUCGCCUCUUCGUCGACCACACGAUGACCUGGCAGAGGAUCCAAAAAAUAGACGGUCUCCUUCUUUGCUCUUACAAUCAGCAAGAUCCAAUGACGGCUGCACAAAAUUAAUAUAAAAACGACGGUUAUUUACAAAAACGACGUAUUAUAGUAUUUCACACGACGAAAUAAAGUAGAUAAUGACGACAUUAUAUAUUUAUCACGACGAUAAAUAAAUACCGACGUGGUUAGUAGUUUCAAACGACUAAAUAAAAUAAAACACCGACGUGGUUAGUUUAUAAGCUGUCAUUUAUUGAAAAUCAUAAAAACAAAAUCCUAAGGAGACUAACCCUGGAUUGUAAGGCAUCAUGAAAAUCUGUUCACCGUCUGUCUUCUGAAGUCGAGCUGCUACCAGUCGUGAUCUUUCAGUUAUUGUGCCAGAGUUGGCACUAACUGUAGCUGGGUCGAUAAAGCCAACCAUGCUGCACAUAUUGGCUUGUUUCAAAACAUCGUGUAAGUACCUAAAUACAUAAAAUAAUAUAAACAAGUCAGCACAAAAAAACACGACGGUUAUGUAUAAAAAAACGACGUAUUAUAAUAUUUCACACGACGUAUUGAAAUAGAUGAGGAUGUUAUAAUAUAUUUAUCACGACGGUAGUUAGUUAAGACGACGUGGUUAGUUAGUUAAGACGACUCAAUAUAUAAACCAACGAGGUAUUAUUUUAGAAGUACAAACCUCAUAUAUACAGCCAAUACAGUAGCUCCAAUUUCUUCCAUGCCUGCAAAUUGUGUAAUAUCUUCAGGCAGGAGGAAGGUAUCGCGCUCACCACCAAACACCUCCUUAUCAAUUGUAAAUUGGAGUGUCUUAUCCUCAGGCAGGAGUGUCGUUUCCACAAAACGACAAAGGGUUUUUAAAGAAGAUGGCGCCUCCAUAUUUGAAUAAUCACCAACUUCAAUAACCUGUUUAAAGAAAUAAAAAAAAUGACGUGGUAAUUCAAUAAAGACGACGGUUUAAGGAAUAAAACGUCGUCUUAAAAGUAUUUAAACGACGGUGAAAAAACUGUCGUGGUAAUUCAAUAAAGACGACGGUUUUAUGAAUAAAGCGUCGUCUGAAACCAUUUAAACGACGGUGCAAAAACCGUCGUUUAAAUAUUUCAUUAUGUCUUAAAAAAAUUCCGCCGUCUAAGUUGUAAACAAACGAUGGAUUAAAUAAAAAUAUCGACGUCUGAAAUUUUGAAAAACAAAUAAAAAAGGCAAAGUUAUGUGAACAUACCUUGUCGUCAUGCUUUUCUUCAUCUUCUUUCUCCUUUUCUUCUUCCUUCUCUUCAUCUCUUUUUUCUUCUUCCUUCUCUUCAUCUGGCUGAUGUUUCCCCAUUUUGGCAGUAUCAUCCUCCAAAUGUAGGGAUCUCACAUCACCUCCAGAGCAGCUAGCUUUGUCAGACAUUGGAUUUUUGGGGCUUUGGCUAAUUCUUGGUUUAAGCAUGCUUGGAUCAAAAUUGGGAAUUAAUUGGGAAAGCUGACUCAGGAAAUGCUCCCUCUCAGCCUCUACCAAUUGUUUUGUCCUAGCCUCCAUCCUUAAGGCCUCUUCCCUUGCCUUAGCCUCCAUCUUUUUAGUCUCUUCUUGAAGGAGAACUCUUAAACUGUCCUUCAAACGGUCGUCAAAGCUCACCCUCUGUGGUUUGGGCAAAUUGAAAUAUUGCCUUGGGGAAACACCAGCACCAACUCCCCUCACUCUCCUGGAUGCUCGGGGCCCAAAGCCAUGGUCAGCACAUCAUUGCUGCCAUCUACUCUGACUUUGCCUUCCGAGACUUGUUUCUGCAAUUCAUCCUAAAACAAAGAUAAACAAAAAAACACACGACGGUUAUUUAUGUACAAACGACGUAUUAUAUAAUUUCACACGACGCAAUAACGUAUAAACCGACGUUAUUAUAACUUAUCACGACGGUAGUUAUACCGACAUGGUUAUUUAUUUAAAACGACGAAAUGAAUAAACAACCGACGUCUUAUGCUAUAAUUAAAGAAAACAGAGUAGUGAUUCCUAUUUAGAACGUUAACGACGUUUUUAAAAAAGUUUCGACGUGGUAAUAUCAUUCACACGACGCGAAAAUGAACCACCGACGUCUUAUGCUAUAAUUACAGAAAACAUAGUAGUGAUUCCUAUUUAGACCUUUAACGACGUUUUUAAAAACUUUUCGACGUGGUAAUAUCAUUCACACGACGAAAAAUAUAACAUACGACGUAAUAAGAAUAAUUCACAGUUUAAUAAAAAUUUAAAACAGAGUGAUAGUAGGCUUACAAUUAAUUUUGCUUUCUCUGCCACCUUUGGAUCAGGGAUGUUACCAUGUUUGUCCUGUCUAGCUCUCUUCCAUAAGGUAGAUCGAUCAAUUUCUACCCCAGGCAUGGUUUCCUCCAAUUGAUCCUCCAAUCCAGCAUAUCCUUUUCGAGACAAUCGAUGAUUGUACUCGAGUUUCUCCCUAAUCUGUGCAUGUUGAGAAUGCACAGACUCAAAAUCUUUGGAUAGCCUUGAAGCUACAAAGGCAUCCCAUUGUGCUUUCUCUAUGAAUUUAUAUGUUUCAGGGGGUUGGCUUAAUUUCUCCCUGUCAUUGGUGUAUGGAAGGAUAUAAUGCCUCGUUAGUGUAGACUUGAAAUCCUUCCAUUUCUUGGCAGCAGAAGCUAAAACAGAGGUCUUGCCCCCUUGGCCUACGACAAAAGCCAUGUCAACUGCUUCCCAAAUCUGCUCCUUUAUAUCCUUGGGGAUUUGGGACCAUUUCUUGUCCACAAGUGGGAUCCUGGAGCGUGCCAACACACCAAUAUACGACUGCAUCUCAAUAUGUGCUUGGCCAACACCUUUCCCCCUUUUAUUGUACUCAACAAUUGGCCUCAGUUUCUGAAGCUUUCUCUUCCCAACACGAGGCAUUGUGCUCAUACCUCGACCAGUCUUUGAAUCAUUAGAGAUUGUUGUCUGGCUGGUUGGUUCUGUCUCAGCAGAUGAUGAAGCAAACUUCAUCUUCUUCGAAGACUUCAUCUCCUUCGAAGACUUGUCUUGAGGAGCUACCAUUCCAAGCUUCUUGGAGCCAGAAUCCUUAGUUUGUUGUUGAGAAACCAUUUUAACAGACAAAACUGCAAGUGAAAAUAUUUCAGGAAAACAUUAAGAACACAAACGACGGUAUUAAAAAAAUACGACGUAUGAUAUGAUUUUAGACGACGCAAUGAAAUAAUCUCAGACGUAAUAAAUGUUUAAAACCAUUAUUUAUAUAACGUCGUGGUAUAUAUAUUCACACGACGUCAGUAGUAAUACACCGUCGUGGUAAAACUAUUAUUUAUAUAACGUCGUGGUAUUUAUGUUCAUACGACGUCAAUAGUAAUACACCGUCGUGGUAUUAACAUUCACACGACGUAAAACAAUAAGAUAUUUUGUCGUCUAUAUUAGAUACCAACCCUAGUUUCUUUUUCUUUAUAUUUUAUCAAAUAAGGGAAAAACAAAAACCAUUGUUCAGAGAAAUCAAACCUGCAAUUAAACAAGCAUAUAAAAAAAGACUAUUAUUUUAAAAACAACUUUGUCAAUUUUCAGACGACGCUAGAACAACUGACGAACCGUCGUGGUCUACCGUCGUCUUAUUUAGUUGAGGUAGUUGUCUUCAAAGUUGGAAACUUUCCCUCUUUGUCUGUAUAUUUUAUCAAACUUGGAAAGAAGUAAAAUGAUUUUGGCCAGAAAAAAGAUAAAAAGAUUUUUCAAACAAAAAACGUAUGAGCAUGCAAAACAGUAACCAAAAUAGUGAAAAUGAAAGCUUACCUUUUGCGUGCAAUGAAAGCAAGAGGAAGAUGAUCGAUGUUUAAGUUCAGAGACGACGAAGAAGACGAGAGGAAGACGAUGAGAAACUCUGACAAUGCUUUGACAAGGAAAAAAGACGAAAAGGUUUCUCUGGGAGAUUGAAAUUUUUAAUCGGGUUUGGAAACAGUGCAUGUGUAAGUCGAAAAGUUGCUUACAUAUAAAACCAUUUCAAAAAAAUAAUACGGCGGUUACAUUUAACUACGUCGUUUUUAACUAACACGACGCAAUAUUUUUCGUUCGAUGUGGAAUCAUUUCAUUUAACGUCGUUAGGUUUAAUAUAACCGACGUGGAUUUUAAUUUUUAAAUUAUGAAUAGAAUUUUUUUUCCCGUGACCUUUCAGUUUAUUUUUCAAUUACAGUGCGUUAUAAAUAGAGUUUUUUUUCCGGAGGAAAUUUAAAACGAAGGAAAUUAAUAUUCUGCAAUAUGUAAAGUUUCUUUUUUGGAUGACAGAUUUAAAUAAAAUAAGAAUAUAAAAACAACGAAUGUGUAAGUCAAGUAGACGAAAAGUUGCUUACAUAUAAAACCAUUUCAAAAAAAUAAUACGGCGGUUACAUAUAACUACGACGUAUAAAGUACAAAAUACGACGGUAAAUUUAACUUCGGACGUGGUAAAUAAAUACGACAGUAGUGUUGUAGGUACCAUCGUAGUAAACUCAAAAAUUAAAGUACAUAAGUAAUAACUCGCGUCAUGGUAGAUUAUUUAAGACGUCGUGAUUAUUAAUGUACCGACGUGGAGUUCUGUAAUAUACGUCAGUAAUACCGACGUUAAUUUUACAAUUUAAACGGCGGUUUUUUGGUAAGGACCGCCGUUGGUUUAAAAAAUUUAUUCUAUAAAUUUGUCGCUUUCAUUCAUUUUCGCGGUUUACAUUUAGGGUUCCAAGUUCUUCCUCUCUCAGAGACACUGUCUCUCACAUCUCAAAGACAAUAAUUUGGAUGUCUUUCUGAAAGAGAAAUUGAGCUUACAUUUAGGCUAGUUGACAAGAAGAAGCGUGAUAAAUAGAUUUUUCUUUCCCGAGGAAAUUUAAAAUGAGGGAAAUUAAUGUUCUAGAAUUUGUAAACUAACACGACGCAAUAUUACUAACCCGAGGAAAUUAUAAAUAGAUUUUGCUUUCCUGAAGAAAUUUUAAAUUAAUUCAGUUUGAAACAAAACGACGGUUUUUUGUUAUGCCGUCGUUUUUAACUAACACGACAGAUUUAAAUAAAAUAAGAGUAUAAAAACAACGACUGUUUUUGUACUACUGUCGUCGUUUUUCGUCGUCUUAAGUAAGACUAAGACGACGUAAUAUAUUUGUUGAGCGACGUUGAUUUGUUUUUAAACGUCGUUAGGUAUAAUAUAACCGUCGUUGAAAAUUGUCUCUCUGAUUGCAAAUUUGCAACGACGUUGAUCAACUUCCAAAAAAUUGUCUCUCUGAUUGCAAAUCUGUGUCAUCUGUUAAGAUUAUUUUGUAUUUUAAAGCCGUGGAUUUGUUUGUAAUUAUACGGCGUCUUAUACGAAAACCUCGUCGUGUUAUUUUAUGAGUAAAAACGGCGGCUUUUAUUGAAAUCGUCGUCUUUACUUUCUACGUCGGUCUAUUCAUAACUUCUGCCGUUCUUUGUUUGCUUUGAUUUUACACUGCGGAAAUCUGUUUCAAAUAGACUUCGGUUGUUUAAUUAGGUACGUCGUUGUUUUUGAACAGCCAUUUGAAUCUCCAUUUUUAGUUGUCUAAGGUGGUAUUACACGACGGUGUUUUUAGAACCGUCGUCUUUUUAAAAACCACGACGGUUUUCACUUAGACCGUCGUUGUUUUCUGGUCGUCUUUUUCGCUUUUUGUAGUAGUGAAGGAGCAACUUUCCAACUUUUUUAACUGUCAUUGCUCUUGGAUUCCUCGUUUAGCGAAUGAAGCGGCCAAUCUUUUGGCAACGCUAGCAUAGUAAACGAUGCCCACGGAAGUGUGGGUUAUUAGACCCCUAUUUUUCUUACCCAUGUUCUAAACAAAGAUGGUCUCCCCUGCCCUCCAAGUAUUUAUAGCUCCAUAUUUCCAGUUGGAAGGAAUGGAUGCGUGUUAGGCUCUACCUAUGUCCUUGCUCAUGUAACUCCUUUAGCUGUUUUAUCUUUGGCACUAGCAGUGUUUUGCUUUUGGCCCCUUUUAAAUUUGGUUGGUUUCUAACCUUAGGCACCAUGUUGUUUCCCUUUGUGACUGGGCCCUCUUGAUCUGUUGCUUUGUGACUUUGCCGUCUAUUGAAUGCAACACUUCAGUUCAAAAAAACCCAUAUCCAAUACUGUAACUCCUUUUUAACAAUUACUUCAAUCAAUACAAUACAACAAUUCUCUCAAAGGUCUCUCUAUUUUGCAUUCACUCUAACAAUUCCCAACCAUUAACACAAACACCAAGGCUUCCAUUAUUCCAUUUCAUCAUCAUCAUCAUCAUCAUCAUCAUCAUCAUCAUCAUCAAUACCAAUUUUAUCUUCCUCCCUAUAAGGGGUGAAGAGGAGAAGGAAGACGAAGGGAGAUGAGUGGCAAUCAUGGCAGGUAGUGUGGAGAUGAGUGGAGGUCAUGGCAGGUUUUGGAGAUUAAGGUUGUUGCGUUCAGGAGGGGUAGCUGUUGGGAAUUCAGAAGAUAAAAAAAAAAAAGAAUAAGUCCAUCUGUAAACAAAAUUAAUUUAUGUUUUAAAGUAAAUACAUGACAAUAAUUGAAUGGGAGUAUCACACGCUGACGUGGUAGAUCUAUAUCACUUUAUAAUUUCUUCAUCUCCGGGACAAGCUCCAGCUUGCAGCAAUUUAAGAAAGAAGUAUAGAUGUAGUCAUGUGCGUAUGAGAGAAUAAGGGAGAAUUUGAUAGUGGUAGUAAUAUGCCUAUGAGAGAAUAAGGGAGAUUUGAUUGUUUUCCAUUUUUUGUUUUUAUUUGACAGAUUAAAUUGAUAAAAGAGCAUCUUCCUCGGAGAUGUUAAAUGCAAGAUCUAGCUUCGGUAGUAGUUUGACAUAUUGUAAAAAUGUUAACUCCACUCUCCUAUAUGAUCAAAUAAAAUUUUAAGGCUUAAAUGUCAAAAUGGUCCAUGUAUUUUACCCUAUCGGCCAAUUUAGUCCUUGUGUUAUCAAUCUGGCUAAUUUGAUUCUUGUGUUUAUUUCCGUUAGUCAAUGUGCAGGGGCAAUACCAUGGCCCUGAGGCCCCCAGCCCCCCCCCACAAAAAAAAAAAAUCAAUCUAUUAUGAUAUAGCAAUACAAUUACUGCAAUUAGAUUAGUGCUAGCCCUCCCAGUUGAAGAUGAAAAAACUAUGUGGAAGUGAUUUUGAAAUUUUGGCCCUUCCAUGUAAGAAUCCUAGCUCCGCCACUGUCAAUACGGUCCUUCCUUUGCAAAAUCUACUGCCUUUUGUUUUGUUUUUUCGCGAAGUCUGCUGUAUUCUUUUCUUUAUUUGUUGUCUGUGGCAAAAGAUUUUGGAAGAAGGGAAAAAAAAAAAAAAUUCUAUCUGGCUCACCAUCAACUACAACACAUUAGAGACAUAUUAUUUUCUCAAGUUUACUUAUAUUCUCUUUCAAGAACGGAACAAUACAUUAACCAAAUUAUAUUGUUCUUGUGUUUACAACUAAUAAAUAUGUGAAACAUAAUUAUUUAUGUUUUUGCACUUUGCAUUUUUGAAGUUUAUUCGGUUGAUGUCAAGAAAUUUUAACAGAUUCAAACAAUGAAGGUAAAAAUAUCAUUAGAUUUUAAGCUAAAGAGUUUAGCUAGCUCGCUCACCGAAAAAUUCUUGGUUCCACCCUUGAACUCCACCUAAACCACAACCACUUCUCUGCAGCAAAAAUCUGGGACAUUCAUGCCAACACCACUUAUAGUGCAAAUUCCGUAGCCGUCUCGAAUCCUCGUCAUCCUUCGCACCUCUACCACCCUCGAACUCGAUUGUCCCAACAUGACUUGCGCUUUGCUUCGUCUGGGCGUUGGUCAAUCCAAGUCGACAAUACACGCUGGAGUGAGCUGGUGGAUCCCGGAGGUGGUCUUCUUGUGCUGAGCAUGGUGGUUGGUUGAGAAGGAAGAAGAUAAUGUUGAUGUAGUCAUUGAGCGAUUGGGAUCACUUAAGUGUUUUUUGGCGGUCAAUGAAUCUGAGAGGAGAGAGAUGAUGGUGGGAGCAUGAAAAAAAUCCAAGGCAGAAGAGCAAUAAAAUAGUAGGCGUUCGAUUGACUCAAGAACAUUUUUUUUGGCUACUAAAAAACGUUGGAAGAGUGGAGGUUGGGGUUUUAAUUAUUAAGUUCUUUAUUAUUUGAAUAAGAAUAUUUGUAAUCAUUACAAAUUUUUUAAUUGAUUUAAUUUUUUUUUUCAAUUUUAACGGAAUUUGGAUGGAAGGAUCAUAUUGACUAACGGAUACAAACACAAGAAUCAAAUUGACCAAAUUGAUAACACACACUUGAAAGAAUAUUAAAAUAAUAUUUAACAACAAGCUUUAUAGGAUGUCACCCUUCAAAUCUAUGUAAAAUUUGACUUAUCAAUUAUAACAAUUUUUCAUUCAAUUCUUGUCAUUUUAUGUUCAUGUGACAGUUUAAUAUCUUCUUUAGAAAUGCUCUAAUAAUUUCAAUUUGUAAAUUUUACCAACACUUUACUUCAUAAAUUGCUAAAUAAUUAAUAGUUUUCUUUCCUAUGUCAACAUUUUGUGGGAUUAAAACCAAAUAUGCUAUAGGCUUGUGCCUCAAAUAGUUAAGAACAUCAACUCUUAAGUUAGAGAUUACGUAUAACAAAAAAAGAAAACGUUGAUAAAAUAAUUAGCAUUUUACUAAAACAAGUUAAUAUGAUGCGCAAAUGCCAUGGUCUCCAAGUCCAUUAGAUAAUAAGAAAGAAUUUGGACUUUUUCUCUCUAUAGGAUGGAUGCAAUUGGGGUCAAGUUUCAUAUGUAUGGUUUGAUUUUUUUGAUUAAUAAAGUUUCUCUCAUGCAGGCGAAGUUUUUGGGACAUGCCAUCCUAUUUUUAUAUAUUUUUUUCUUCAUAACAUUGCAUUAAUUGAAUUAAAGAGUUUGUUAAGUACAAAUUAUUAAAGUAGUAAAUAAAUUUAUUCAAAUUCCUAAAUAAGUCAACAAACUUCACUUUGAAGAGUUUAGUUUGCUAUUACUAUUGAAGAUGCUCGUAACCUAUAAUUUGUGGAACGAAAACGAGUAAUUAUUAUUAUUAUUUUUUUUAUAUAGAAAUGCUUGCUUUUGCAUAAUUUUAUACUUGCCUCUCCACAUGCGCUAACGCGCCUGCAAGAGGUUUUUUUUUUU